UCCAGGUCGUGUUCUGGGUAUGUCACUGUCGGUUAACGCAGAAGGUGGUGCGGUUGGAGCCAAGUCAGGAGCAGGUGAUUUCAGAGUUGAAAUUGACUGGAUCAAAGCCUUGAGAAUGCCAUGAACGGGUGAAGCGUUAUGGCAAUGUAUGAUGUCUUUGUUGCUUAUUCUUUGUUUUAGCUUGUAAAAAACAGGCCUGAGUUGAUACUUUGGUGGCCUUGUUUAAGCUGGUCAACACUUUGAGCAUGUUUUAACUAUGUUCAUCAAAUAAAAAAUACAUGACACGAAUCAAAAAGAUAUGAUCAUUAUCUUAUGUUUUGUAGUUUAUCCGUUUUUGGUCAACUUGUUAAUACUUAUUUAUGGUCGUGAUUGAAUAAGAGAGAGUAUGUUAAGUUACUAUAAUUGGUUGGUAAACAAAGAAAUUAAUAAGUACUUGUAUUAGUGUAUAACGGGUUUGCAUACAGAAAAUAUUGUCAACAAUGUAAUGAAUGAAGGUUUAUGUUUCGGUUUCACGCAUGACAACACACCUAGUUGGACCCUAACGGUGUUGCACUAACUUGAUAGAGACACACGUGUAAUCACCGGCAAGGCAGAUGGUAGGACCCGUUCUGUACAGCUGUUUUACUUUAGUAGCUAAUCUGCACCGUUGGAUGGAUCUACUCAAUUGAUUUUUAUAUUUCCUUUUUUUAUCUGUACAUAGUCGCUUGAUGAUGCGGUUGUUUUAGUGGAUAUCCGGACCCACUAGACCACCCGGCUACGUUUUGUAGGGUCAACCGAAAAGAAAAAAGGCUGCAAUUGUUUGGUUUACAGAAAAUCUAAACCUUAUUAAUUUCCCAUUUCGGUUUACAGAUUGCAUGAUUAAAUCAAAAUUACAAGGAAAAUUUGGUUGCAUUUGAGAACUUUUUUAUAUAUAAGUUCUUAUUCAGUUUCUGUAUACGUACAAAUCAUCCAAGUCUCGUGUGGUUUGGUGAUGGUUUGGUUUUACUUUGUACAGACACUUUUAUUUAAAGUUGUUUUAGAUCAAUCACUCGUCAAAGUUAUAAAACUAUAUUAUUUUUCGCAUGAAGAUUAAUAAAAGAAAGAUUAAUUAUUGAAGAGAAGGACACAUGGGACAAAAGGAAAAGAGAAUGCGAGGAACAUGCUGCAUGUGCUGAAGCUUAUGUCAUACCGACAAAUCUAGAAGCAUAUUGUUGUUCACUAAAGGCUCCUACUUUGUAAUAGAUAUAUACAUUUUCUUCCUCCAAAUUACCAUAAUUAGCUGCCUUAGAAUACUUCAAUAAAGGGGUUCUAUGUUAUAUGAUUUAAUUGUUUUAAGACUUUUUGUCACAUUUGAUUGAAUGUUAAAUGUAGGGUAUUCAAUUGGAAAUAAUAGACGUACACUCUAUUUGGCAUGAAUGAUGAACGAUUUAUAGAUCCCUUUAAUAUUACAUAUGAAGAAUAAUACUUUAUUUUCUUUUGUUAAAAAGUGAAGAAUACUAAUAAUAUUACGCGUUCAUAUCACGUGAAUUAUUCCAUGAAGAUUCAGAAAAUCAAAGAAAAUCAUAUACUGUACGAUUUCUAUGAUAAAAUGUAAUAUUGAAUAACUCAUGUUAUUGAUCAAUUAAUGAACACUAUAUUAUUAGCCAGGGGCGGAGGGAGUGUAUGGGGAGUGGGGUCAGCUGACCCCACUAUUUUUUAAUUUUUUUUUGUUUUUGUUAAAGAAAAAUUAUUUUGACCCCAUUUAAUAAUAAAUUUUGACCCCAUAAAAUUAUUUUGACUCCAGUGUAAAUUGAUCCUGGCUCCGCCACUGUUAUUAGCUACACAAUGAUUCGCAUAGAUAUCAGUAACUAAAUACUCAAAACAAUAGUUAUGAUAUUCUUUCAUGAUAUAUAUAUAUAUAUAUGUAUUUAGCUUCCCCCAGUGAAUUGAAAAGAAAAAUCUCAAAGAAAUGGACAAGUUUAGCAAAAAUAUGUCACACUCAAUUGUUUGUCUACAAGUAUUUUUCACGAAAUUUAGGGAAAUUAUCCUUAAUUUCCUCAUAAGACAAAGAAAAAGAUAUGAGGUUGACAAAAUUAAACAAGAAAAAAUAUAUAUGCGAAUUUAGUUGUCUUUAUCAAGGUAUUUAUUUAUAAUAAUAUUGGGUUCACAGAAAUAAUAUAAAAUACCGUUAAAAAUAGAUCAUUGGAUGUUUGGUCCACAUAGUAGAGAGAGCCUUGACCACACUUCCUCUCCUACUAUCUGACAAGACUGCCCCCAUCUUAAAUUACUGAACCGGAUGCGUUGAGAGAAGAAUCCCACUGACCGAUAAAAAACUAUUUAUAAUACCUAGGCGUUCGAAUCUUUGGAAAGUUCUAUGUGUUUACUAUUUUUGAAUUGUAUAAUACAGAAAAAGUUUGUGAUUAAUUAGGUUAAUUUGGAAAAAAUUAUGGGGGAACACAGUCUUCCAAACCGGGUUUAGUUGAUGUUUGAUUAGAUUCGGUUAACUAAGGAGGAUACAUUGGUAAUAUAAAACGUGGGUGGUAGGAAUCUUCUUAGACCAUCCGCAACGGUGGUUUUAACACAAUCCUUAGUAGUUAAUCCUUAACUAUUAGGAUUAUAAUACUAAUAUUUAUGGGAGAAAAGCUAAGGAUAAGUCCUAAGCUAAGGAUUAAAAUGUGUUGGUCCUAAAUGACGUGGCAGGAGCAAUUGGGUCGAACUCGUAGUGUAGGGUUUCGCGACUUCAUUUCAUUUGGACGCAACACGAAAAAAAAAAAUCAGAGACGGCGAUUAAGACGAUCUUUCUCUCGACCGCUGAGAAGAGAAAUCGAAGGGUUGUCGUCACUAAAGAGGAUACUCGAAGGGUUCUCGACGGUAGCGAAGGUAAAUCGAAGGAUCCUCUUGUUGAUUUAGGGAUUUACGCUAGGUUUCAUUUUGGUUUCUUCUCAAAUUAGGGUUCGGAUUUGGGAUUUCAAUGGAUUUAUAUAAUUUUUGGAGAUCAGUUAGCGUUUGAUAACGAUUUGUUUCUGAAUCUAUUUUGAAUCUAAUUUUUCAAUCAAUUGGGGGAUUUUUGCGAUUGUAGUAACUGUUUCAAAAAGAUUAGUCUUUUAUACAGAUUUCUAAUCCUCUUAUCCUAUGUGUUCUGACUCUAUUGAGCUUAUAGAAAUGUAGUCCAAAAGUUGUUUGAUUAUAUGAAUUGUUUUAACGCCUCUGUUGCUAUGAUUUCAGGUUAAGGAAACAUGGGACGAUAUAGCUACAGCCAGCCUUCAUCAUCAGAGGAGUAUGAUAUAGAUAUAACUUCGCUUCUUCAAGCGGAAGCUGAUCUCUACGCUGACGAAGCUGACAGUAGGGACAACAUAGCUGAGGCCGUUGAGUACCUUCCUCAACCUGAGUGUGAUGACGGAAUCCCCAAGACCUGCUACUGUGGUGGUGAGGCAGUUGUUGAAACUUCUUACACAAGCAAAGAUCCAGGGAGAAGGUACUUCACUUGCGGGAAUGCGGAUGAUGGAGACUGCCAUGUGUGGAAAUGGUGGGAUGUGGCGGUCAUGGAGGAGUUGCGUGAUUAUCAGAGACAACUUAGGGAGGUAAAGGAUCAAGCUAAUGAGAGUGACGAGAAGCUGGUUAAGGUCGAGCAGACUGUGGAGCAGUUAGUUAAGAAGAAAACAGGGAUUGCAAAUGGCUAUCCAUUGCUUGUAUGUGUGUUGCUUAGUGUAGUAUUUCUACUAUGUAUGGUGAUCAUGUUCAAGUGGGUUGCAGAGAAGGAGAACGUGUUAACAGAGAGCAUGGUUAGUUUCAUUCCUUCUGCUUAUAAUUUUCUUGAAAAACAUGACUCUUUUAUCUUAUGUCUGUUCAGGAAGAGCUUCAGGAAGAGCUUCAGAGGAUGAAAAUGCGACUGUCUGACCUUUAGAAGGUAAUCUACAAACAACUUCCAGCUCUCUUUUCAUUGAGUAAUCAAAGUGUAUAGUAUUUUCCAUUGAAUCUGGAUAAUAAUGGUAAUAUAAUAAACUAAGCGGUAAACUAGCUGAUAAAUGCUUUUACCUUCCUAACUCCUCUGAUAAAUGUAUUUAGAAUUAAAGUCCGAAGCUGAUAAAUGCUUUUACCUUCCUAACUCCUCUGAGUUGAUGGGUUUAAAUGUACCCGUACUGCUUUUUACCUUCCUAACUCUGGCUGACUUGAUUGCUUUUAAAUGUAUCUUAGGUAGAUAUCGCAUACUUAAAGCUCUGUGAUGCUAGUAGAGUGACACAGAGCUUAAAAUAACCAUGGAUGCCACCCCUGGUUUUGUUAACCUUCUCAAUAACCAGGCGCCUUUUAGCCUUGAUUCACCCGAACCAGUUUGGUUUAGUACAGAGCAGUCCAUACCCAUGGAUACACCCCCUGUUUCUGAGCAGUCUUCAAGCAAGGAGAGGAGGAAAUGGUGUGUCAAAGAGGAUAUAAUCCUCAUAAGCGCUUGGCUUAACACGAGUAAAGACUCUGUGGUCGGUAAUGAGCAGAAGGCGACUCAUUUCUGGAGGAGGAUUGUAGAGUACUACAACUCAAGCCCUCAGCUGGUCGGGACAAUACCGAGAGAGCUUGGUCAGUGCAAGCAAAGGUGGGCUCGGAUUAACGAUCAGGUUUGCAAGUUUGUUGGGAGCUAUGAAGCGGCCUUGAGGGAGCAGAGAAGCGGGCAAAAUGAUGAUGACGUGAUGAAAGCUGCCCUCGAUAUCUUCUUCAAUAACUACUCCAGCAAGUUCGCACUCGAACAUGCGUGGAGGGAGCUGAGGCAUGAGAAGAAAUGGUGCUCCGCCUUUCUCUCUAAGGACAAGCGUAAACAACCGGUAGAGGUUGAUGGAGAAGACGCGGUGGCAGCAGGAGAGGCUAGACCUAUAGGUGUCAAGGCUGCUAAAGCUUCUAUCAAGCGGAAGAAAAGUGGAAGAGAUGAUGAGUUGGAGAAGAUUCAAGGCAUUAUGGAAAUGAAAGAGAAGAUAUCUAAACGCAAAGUGCUUGAGCGUUUAAUUGCCAAAACUGGUCCACUAUCUGAGAUGGAAACAUCUUUAAAAAUGAAACUACUGUCUGAAAUGCUGUGAUGUUUAGUUAAAGGAAGUCACGGACUAGUUAAGGUUUUCAUGUUGUGUUGAGUAGUUAGUACACUUUGUUAACUCUUGGUAACUCUUGCUAACUCUUGGAAUUUUUUUUUUGGUUGUUGCAGGUAGUACAAGGUCACGGGUGUGAAAGGAAGUCACGGGUCUGUUUUGCUGUUUUCCCAUUCACGGGUCUGAAGGAAGUCACGGGUGUGAAGUUUCACUUCUAUAAAUGAAGCUGUUUAGUCGUUUUAGCUAUGUAUCUCCUUUGUUUCCUUAGUUUUCUUUCUCCUAUGCAACUGUAUUCUCUCCCUAGUUAAUGUAUGGUACUUGUAAUGUCGGAUUUGAUCUCUAAACAACUUGCUUCUCUUUCAAUCAAACAGACUCUUCUCUAUUAACUUUGCAUACUUCAAAUCAAACACAAAUCAUCUCCUUAAACUGAAAAACCGACAGGUACAAGGAAGGAGAAGGCAAAGCGAACACAAACCGACAUCUUGUAAAACUGAAAAACCGACAGGUUCAAGGUCGCAGGUUCAUGUUUAUUAUAUAUAAUCUUGCCAACUCUUGAAUAAGAAAGUAGCUUAAAUUCAAACUAAACUUUCACACCAACCGGAAUUUUGAUUAAGAAAGUAGCUUAAAUUUAAAAUAUCAUGCACAGUUUAUUAUAUAUAAUCUUGCUAACUCGUGGAAAUUUUUUUUUUAAAUAGUUAGAAUUAUAAUUAAAAAAAUAAGCUUAGUUUCCAUUAUAUUUAUAAUUUUAAAAUCGUUAUCCAUUUUUUUAAAUCCAACCGGAAAUUUUUUCUGCAGGAGCUACUACAAAUAAAAUGUCAUCAUCGUCGUCCGAUGAAGUUGAAGAAAGAUUGGACGAAAUUAUCGACGAUAUCAUAGACGAAACCUACAUCAACAUUGUGGAAGGCCAACCCUCUAAGCCGAGGACACGCGCUUAUAUAGAACGAGACCGCGAAAUAGGACACAACCAAUUAUGGAAUGAUUACUUCAGCGAAGAUGCGACAUUCCCGCCAUAUUUAUUCAGACGCCGUUUCCGUAUGAACAAAGAAUUAUUCUUGCGUAUUGUCCAUCGCCUCUCAGAACACGUUCCAUUCUUUCAACAAAGAAGAGAUGCAACGGGGAGGUUUGGUCUUUCUCCACUACAAAAAUGUACGGCUGCUAUUCGUCUCCUAGCUUAUGGUUCUGCAGCUGACGCGGUUGAUGAAUAUCUCAGAGUUGGUGAAAGCACGGCAAUUUCGUGUUUAAAGCAUUUUAAUGAAGGAAUAAUUCGGUUAUUUGGUCCUGAGUAUCUACGAAGACCGACAGAAGAGGAUCUUCAGCGACUACUCCAUAUUGGAGAGAUACGCGGGUUUCCUGGGAUGGUAGGAAGCAUCGACUGUAUGCAUUGGAGGUGGAAAAAUUGCCCAACGGCUUGGAAAGGACAGUAUACCCGGGGAUCAACAAAACCGUCAAUUGUGUUAGAGGCGGUAGCUUCACAAGAUCUUUGGAUAUGGCACGCUUUCUUCGGUCUUCCAGGUACCUUAAACGAUAUUAAUGUCCUCGAUCGGUCUCCUGUUUUUGAUGACAUUAUUCAAGGUCGGGCUCCGAGGGUAGAGUACAUGGUCAACGGACACAUGUAUAAUUUGGCGUACUACCUCACAGACGGUAUUUAUCCAAACUGGUCAACAUUUAUCCAAUCUAUCUCACUCCCUCAAGGUCCUAAAGCAGAGUUAUUUGCUAAAGUUCAAGAAUCAACCCGAAAAGAUGUGGAGCGGGCUUUUGGAGUUUUACAAGCUCGAUUUGCGAUUGUGAAAAACCCGGCACUUUCAUGGGACCAGGAACAGAUAGGGAAGACUAUGAGAGCAUGUAUCAUAUUGCACAAUAUGAUAGUCGAAAAUGAACGAGAUGGAUACAACACUCAGUACGAUACAUCUGAAUUUGAAGAAGGAGAUGUAGCCAGCAGUUCACGAGUGCAUAAGUCUCGUGGUACAGACAUCCCUCCAAGCAUCAAUGAAAUGCGUGCCAUUCGGUUUCAGGUUCGCGAGACGGAAACACAUCACCAAUUGAAGAAUGAUUUAAUUGAAAAUAUUUGGAACAAAUUUGGGGAUGAAAAUUAAUAGUUAUUGUAAUUUUAUAUGUUUAAUCAUGUAAUAAAUAAAUUUUUAUAUCUUUUUUAAACUUCUUAAAAAUUUAUAAUUUUUUUAUUCUUAAGGACUCCAAUGGUAGUAACACCAUUGGAUAUACAAAUUUCAUUAGAAUCCUUAACUCUUAAAAAAAAAAAAAAUAAUAAUAAAAUAUACUUAAGGACUCCAAUGGUAGUAACACCAUUGGAGAUGCUCUUAUUGACUCAUGCGUCUUUCGUAUUCUCUUCAUUUAAGUUACAGACUGUUACGCGAAGGAAGAAAUAAAAAAAAGGUGAAAGUUGUCCGAAAGGAAGCACUCUCUCUCUCUAGAGCUUCACAUUCUCUAUCUACUAGAGAUAUAAAAAAGGGAAAGUUCUUCCUCAAUUUGGGCAAGGAGAAAGAUUGCAAAACACCAUUGUCCUCACGACAGGUAUUCUGAUUUUCAGACACACUGUUACCGGCUUCUUAUGUUUUUUUUUGUUUCUUAUAAUAAAAAAAAAAUCUCAAUUCUCAUAUAUGAGAAAGAACUAAAAGUAAACAAAAGUUGGGAGAGUGAUUGGAACUAAAGUGUUCGAAUUUCGAUUUCAAUGCUGGAUCGGUUUUGUUGUAAGUUCGAAUCUGUUUUCUUACAUAAAUGAUUUGGAUUCUGUAAUGUUUUCAAAAGAUGAAAAUUUUCAGAUUUUGGAUUUUUUUAUUUAUUUAUGGUGUUAAUUAGUGUUGGGGUCAGAUCUGGGAAUCAUCGGUCGGUUUGUAUAGUGUUAUGAAGUUGCCUUUCAUCUUAUUAUUGUUUAGUUGAAUUGAAGUCUUUUUUUUUUUUUUUUUUUUGACAGCAAACAUAGUUGAAUUGAAGUCUGUUUUGGCUUUUUUGUGUUAUUAGUUUCAAUGUUAAAAGUUUGGUAAAAUCUUUAUUGCUCUACAAUUAAUUACUUACUAAUACUCUCAUGAGAUUAGCAAUUUUCAUUGAUUAACAAUCUCAUUCCUAUUCUUCUUCUUUUUUGUUCCUCAGGUUUCUCUGGGAUUAUAUAAUCUGUUGAAGGAUACACAUUUUGGUCUAUAAGUUCUCACUUGUGCUUGCAGUGAAAAAAUGAAGGCUGAUAGUAUUCUUGACUAUGCAAUAUUCGAGCUUUCGCAUAAACACUCGCGGUGAGUAAAUCUUAAUUCUCUCAGUGAAAUGUUCUGUCUUGAUUGAUUAUGCUUCUAUGUUUGUUGAAAAUCUUAUUUGAAUUGCGGUGUGUUUUAACAGAUGCGAACUGUUUGUGUCGAGUAAUGGAGAAACAGAGAAACUGGCUUCAGGUCUGAUCGAACCUUUUGUGAAUCAUCUGUGUGUUCUCGCAACACAAUCUUUAUUUAGAGCGGAAGUAGAAAAAAACCAAAAUGGCAAAUCUUGGUUCACAAGAAGGACACUCGAGAGGUUUUUUACAGAACAUUUUGCUUCUCCAUUUUCAUUUUUAACACGCAAAGUAGCUUAAUAAUAUUUUCCUUGGAACUUCAUUGUUUUUUUUUUCAGGUUUGUUCAAUUUGUUAAUAGUCCAGAAGUUCUGGUAAGAGUCGAUACAAUUGAUUUGGAGAUGUCACAGUUGGAAGCAGCUCGGACUUUAUAUUCUCAGGGUCUGUUAAAAAUCUCUCAUUUGUCUAAUCAACUUUUAAACGUUUAGGACCAAACUUGAUCUUAGUUUUCUUUUCACAUGUGCUCAGAUGAUGGAGGUGUAACGGAUGCAACAAAGUAAGUCAAGCUCUCUGGUUUCAUACUGAGUCAAAGUGCAUGUUGAAAUGGAAGAGUGUUUUGCUGAUUACUUUGCUUUUGUUUUGUUAUACAGGAAGGAGCUCUCAAGAGCUAUUGAUUUAAGACUUGAGGCCAUUAAGAAGGACUUAACCACAGCGAUUGUUCAAGCCUCGGCUAAUGGUUUUGAUCCUCAAACUGUCUCUGAUCUCCAACGUUUUGCUGAUACAUUCGGUGCUCAUCCUUUGAAGUAAACACUUCUUUUUUCUUUCUUGAUUUUUUCAUUCUUGCAAUUGUGUUUUAAAAAUUUGAUCUGAACAUUAUUUUCUUUACCAGCGAGGCAUGUGGAAAAUACAUAUCAUUAUGUCAAAGAAGACCAGACCUGAUCAAGAAGAACUUGACUACCAACGAAACAAACACCAGUCAAGUCCAAAGUAUCAAGAAUGAUGAAGAGGAGAAAAAAGAUGACUCCUCUACGGUUAAGACCACUCAACAUACGAGGAGGCUCAGCGUGCAAGACAGGAUUAAUCUCUUUGAGAGCAAAAAGACGGAAGAUUCAAACUCUGCAGGACACAAACCGGUGGUUGUUGUUGCUGCUAAAUCAACCACAGAGUUGAGGAGACUUUCCUCUGAUGUCUCAUCAGCUGCUGCUCCUCCCGUAUUCCCUCAGAAAUCCGUCUUGAGAAGAUGGAGUGUUGUUAGUGACAUGAGCUUUGAUUUUGCAUCGGAUAAUAACAAGAAGUCUGAGGGUAGUGGCAACGAAGAAGGUCCCUUGAGUAGACCAUCCUCUGGUAAUCCUGAAGCCACAGUGCCAAAAGAGUCUGAAGAGGAGAGUAAAAAGGGUGGUGAUCAUGAUGAGGAUGAUGUGUCUUCUACUAAAUGUGAUGAUUCUCAGAACCAGUCUGAUGGUGAUGAGAGAUAUGCUUCCAAGCCACAACCAUCAGUCAUGUUUCCUCGACAUUCGCGGUCUCGAUCAGCUCAUAUAGGAGAUGGUAUUGAUAUCAAAAGUGAUGAACUUCAAUCACAAAGCCGGAAGAAAGAUGUGAUAUUUUCAGACAAGCAUCCUGCCUUAACAAUCUUGACAAAACCAGCUUCUGCAGGUUAGUUUAGCUAAAUCUUUAUAAACACCAGAAGUCAUUAACUCAACUUAAGAGUAAUCCAUGUCAUUGUGUUAGAGGUCCCCAGUUCGAGUGACCCCAGGGACGAAAUUACCUGAACUCCUAGUAUUAAAAAAAAAACUCUUGAUAAUAAUUUAAAAGUCAAAAUACUAAAACUGAUUGAUUUUACUUAUACUUCUGCAGGGUCUGAACAGAGACAAAAAUCAUUUGGUGUAGAGCAUGAUCUUGUGAAUAAAGAUUCAGCUGCUGGAAAAAUCAACAGUAACAGAGUUCGUGCAACAUCUGUGGAUCAGAUGCAAAGGCCAAGAAUCUCUAGGGAAAGCUCUCAAGGUGUUAACGACGAGUUAAAAACAAAGGCAAACGACCUUGAGAAGAUUUUCGCCGAGCAUCAACAACGAGGUCCUCGUGGAGAUCAUCAUCAUCAAUCAGCUGGUGAUGUAAAAGACAACAACAACAACAAGAACGUUGUGAUGCGUAGGAACGUAUCUGAUUUAAGCUAUUCAGAUGAUUCCAAAGGAAAGCUAUACGAGACGUAUAUGAAGAAAAGGGACGCAAAGCUCAGAGAAGAAUGGAGUUCGAAAGAAGCUAAGUUGAAGUCAAUGCAAGAAGCUCUAGAGAGAAGCAGAACCGAGAUGAAGGCUAAGUUCUCCGAGAAGAGACAGGAUUCAAUAUCGAGUACACGUCAGCGUGCUGAGAAGCUUAGAUCUUUUAAUACUCGGUCGAGUUUGAAGAAGUUUCAGGUAAAUCAAAAAUCAUUUUAAGUUCCUAUGAUGGUAACUUACUAUUUGGUUAAAAUCUUCUCAUUUCUUGUAUACAGCAGCAUCCUAUAAGCUCAUUACAGAGCGAAGAAGAAAACGUGAAAGAUAAACCACUCAGUGGAAGGAGCUCUCAAGUUAGAAAGGCUCCAUCACCAAACCGGAGCUCUCGAGUCUCGAAACCAUCAGGUAAAGUUUCAAACACUAACGUUACUUCUUCCGGGAGAGGGAGAAGAACAACAGCUGAGGUUAAUCCGGUUGCACAAUCUUCUUCCAUUCCCAAUUUCUCUGAUCUUAAGAAAGAAAACACAAAACCAUCUGCUGUUAGAAACCCUCCUAUGAUGCGAACACAGGUGAGGGGUGGUAAUAAGAAGACUACAAAGGAGGAUGUACCGUCUCCUGUUAAGCCUCGGAGACCGAGGUCGUUGAGGAAGAGCUUCUCUGCCAACAUAGAGUUCACUGAGCUGACAAGUACUCUCUACUCUGAUGAGAGGAAUGAGAAGCAGAACACUGACGUCGAUGAGGUACCAGAGAGCUUGAGGAACGAAGAGGAAACUGACUCUGAGGCUGAAGAAGAAGUGAAGCAAGUUGUGGAGAAUCAUGUCAAAGAAGAAGAAGAGGAAACUCUAGUGGCUGAGGAUGUUGUUGAUGAAAAGACCACACUUAGUGACAAGAACUCCUCAGAGGAUGAAUCUCAGGUUGUAGACUUACCGGUGAACACUACUCUACUACCUUCACCGUUUCAGCAUCACAUUGCCUCGUUAAUGGAUUCACCUAGCGAGAGUCCCCUCUCGUGGAACUCAAACUUGCAGCACGCUUUCUCUUACCCUCACGAGCAUUCGGAUGCCGAUGCUUCGAUGGAUUACUCUCCCAUGGGGAGUCCUGCUUCUUGGAGUUCGAGAAUGAGAAAGAAAUGGGGAACAACGACAGGUCAGAGUCCUGUCAUUGUUUCAAACUCCUCACCGCUCCACUCUCGGAAGGAUUUAGCGAAAGGGAUCAAACGUUUGCUCAAGUUUGGAAAGAAAACUCGUGCUGCGGAUAGCUUGAUGGAUUGGGUUUCUGUGACAACAUCUGAAGGUGACGAUGACUUUGCUUAUAGAUCAUCUGAUGAGUUGAGGAAAACAAGAAUGGCAUCUUCUCAGAGUCAGCAUUCUGAGGAUGAACAAGGUAUAUAGUCUGUUUACGUUUUCUUUUGUUGUCUUAAAUGGUUAUUGGUUAUAGCUUUGUGUGUUUUGUGUGGGUUUAGGGAGCUUUAAAGCGAAAGAUGGAGAGUUUAAGAAAUCAUUCUUCUCACUCUCUACAUUCCGUAGCAAAGGAAACGACUCGAAGCCAAGAUAACAGAAGAAAGAACAAAAUCAAUCUGUGUGUUUUACCUUUACAACAACACUAGUACAAAGUUUGUAGUGUUGAAACAAAGUUACAGUGCUUGAUUUUAUUUGAGUACAUUAUUGUUGAUUUCUUUAAUAUUUAAUUGAGAUAAACAUAUUUUUGAAACACUGAAAAGUAUGUAGAAAUCUGCACAACAGAGCUUUUGAAUGCUAAAACAAAUAACUUUUGAUUAUAUAACAACAAUACAGUUCUUUUUUUGUUUUUUACAUCACAACAAAGUAAGUAAUAAGAAGGCAUGUUAAAGAAGUCUACAAUCAUCCUUAUGUCCUAAUCUUCAAAGUCUUCAAGACAAAAGCUGUAGUUAAACAACCGUUUCAUCUUUAAAAGAGACAACGGUUAAAAAAAAGGGUACUCAGGUCAAAUUAUGUAAUCUCCAAAUAUCAAGCACAUUAUAUACUAUGGAAACAAGUUACCUUGGGAUUCACUCAGAAUCAGUUGCAUCUUCUCCAAGCUAGAACUACCUCGAAAGAGGUCAAUGCGCCACUUGGACCGUAGAGUACCACUACUGAUUUGAUAUUCCUUCAUAUCGAGUCCAACGAAAGUUACAGAAAAGAAGUUUAUUUUCUUCACCACCAUCUGGAUUCCAACAUCACAUGACAGAAUACUUAUGUGUUUGAUAAUGAACUUAUCUUAUAAAAGGGCUAUGGAAGUGAUUACUUACUUCGACUCCAUCGUUUAUACAUUUUUCGCCAACAGAAUACGGAUGGCGAAAUAAAAACAACAUGGUUGAUUCGAGAAUCAAAUUCCACUGCUGAGAAUGUUUUAUAGCACGUAACGCCAGGAAAACGAAGAAAAUGUAAAACAAUGAUCCGAAUACGCCUAGCGUUAGGUAUACGGGAACAAAUGCUACUACGUCUGCAAUCGCAGCAGUUAUGAAGACUGUGAUCCUCAUACUGUUCAUUAUAGAGUCUGUGUCUUCCAUUGACAAGACAAGAGACAUCUCUAGCCUGUAAGCAUACACCCAGAGGCGGACCCACAUGUAUUAAUGGUGGGUCAGCUGACACACCUUAAAUGAUAAAAUCCUAAUUUGUUAAAGAGAAACGGUAUAUAUUCAGUAGAUCUGUUGGCAAAAUCUCUCAGGGUGACACCCCUAAAUCCGGGUUCAACACUCACCUCACACUCUCUUUACCAUUUUUUUAUUAGUGAUUUAAAGCCCAUUAAAUUUUUUCACCCAUGUUAAAAAAACAUUCUGGGUUCGCCACUAUUACACCUAUAGAGCAUAUAUAGAUAACCAUAACUUAAAAUAGUUGGUAAGGAAAGUUCAUCAAUAUCAAAACGUUUUUUUUUUUUUGAGUUUUUAGUUACCAUAAAAUGUUGCAUAGAUGAGCAGCUGAUUCCUGUCCUCUCAUUUACUAUGAAUGGUAGCCGAGAUGGGAAGAUGAUUCGGGUUGUCCCAUCCUCUCCUGUCGGUCCAAAGAUGCGCAAAAACGACAAGGCAUCAUUUUCCGGAAGGAAGCGAGUUAAGUCCCCCAGUUCAAUGAACCUGAAACAACCGAAGAAUUGUUGUUAAUGAAUGAAUGAAAGUCUUUCCUAGUUGGAUAAAUAGUUAUCUAAUGUAUAAAGGAUUAUAACCAAUUCGCUUAUAACCAAUUGGUUUUAUGUUGAAAGUCCAUGAUAAAACCGAAUUUAACAUGAUAUCUGACCGAGUUAACUUAGAAAAAAGAUCUAUAUUGGAAAUAUAAGAAGAAAAGAAUAACACCGUGAAAGGGAUCAUUUACUUUGAUCCUGGCUUGGCUACGUUUUGGAAGAGUUCCGUUGCUGCAACCCUUGCCUUGGAUUCAUUUUGGAUCUUCAAAGUUGAGCCGUUUUUUACCCUUUUCUUCAUUCUCCAAGCUGAGGUUUUCUUAGGAUUUACCAAGUGCUGGAUUUCCAUCCAAGGACGACGGCCUGAGAGUGUUUCAGUGAUGUACCAGUAGAAGAGAAGCUCCUGGAUCUUCUCUUGGUACCUCCUUGGGUGAGAUUCUGCUGUGAGAAUCAUGAAAGCGAAUGGAUAGAUGAACCACACCAUGGCGCCGAGAACAACAUCGAUUGUUGAGGACGAUAUCACCAUUGCUCAUAGACUGUAUUCUUUACAAGUGUCGGAAAAGGGAAAAUCCUAGGGUUUCUCUCUUCACAGAGCUAGCUUGAGGCUUGAGGGAGUGAUGAGUGAGGGUCGUUGGCUUCUAGUUAAUGAAUCUUUCCUUUUUUAGAAAGGGAUUUUAAUGACAAAACCAUCAUGUAUCAAUGGAUCCAUUUUUAUGAAAAACUCCCUCAACUAUUUAAUAAUAAACAAAACUCAGAUAUAAAAAUCUAUAACAAAUUAACCUUCCAUCGAGCCUUGUCAUUCCUAGUCAUCGAAUAUAUACUUCCUAAACAAGCUGAUUGGUUUACUUUGACAAUUUCUACUAUAAUUGAGAUAUAAAACAGGAUUACAACUCCCUAUGAAUAUUCAAGUUAGAUUAUGAUUACAUAAGUAGAUUACAGACUUUAGUAGAAAACAAAAAAAAAACAUAUUCAAAUUAGUCAAGAGGAUGGAAACUUUAAUCUAAAAACUUAGUUCAUAACAAAUAUUGAGCCAACUUUACUAUAGCCUAAGCUGGAGAUCUUUCGAACACUGGCCUUCUUCUUCAGUCUCUAUAGACAUAUAUUUAUCACCUUCUGGUUUUGGCUGGGACAUGGUUUGAGCAACAUCCUCCUCCGGUGCUUUUGACGACUGCCCUGAUUUAAGUGAUCGACCGUGGGCAGUCUCUGGCUUGGGAGGAUAAUGAUGCUGACCCACAUUUUGGUUAACUUGGUAUGGAGCUCUAGCCACUGCUCUGUAAUGGUAAUAAAAUUGAAAAUCACGUGGCUGGUGAGUAUAUAUACUAGGAUCAAGUAGGAUAACAUAUGUUAAAAGAAUCAGUAAAUUUUUUGAAGUAACAUUAGAAAGUAUGGUCAAGUUAAUUAUUGGUUUUACCGGUCUUUCCGUUUAGCAAAGAAUCGAUGAAGCGAAGCUCUACGUGCUAUACGUUCCACGACCUGAUUUUGUUGAUUGAUGACAUCCACAGAAUUUGUGGGCUCGUUAAGAUCAGGAAGAACCAUGUUGCUUUUGUUAUCGUUGUUUUCGACAUUAAUUUGUGUCUUAAUGUUAAUAUCAGUCACAGGCUUGGCUUGCUUAGCCACUUCCAGUAUCUCUUUAGCUUUGUCUGUAGGGAACUCGUUGUAUACUAAAACGUGACCUCCAAAGAAAAUAGUCAGCUGCGAACUUUCUCGCUCUGAUGGGUUACUAUAAACCAAAACCAGAUUUUAGAACAAUAUUUUUCUCCCAAAGAUCUUAAAGAAUAGUAGUAUAGACCUGAGGUUGGAAUCUUCGUUGGCUUUGCCUGGAGACGGUUCGCCUUUUAAAACCCUCUGAAAGACAUCGAGGGUUUUGGUUUCCGAAUCUGCCUUAUGUUGUUUCCCUGAACAAAGAGUAAACACUUUGGUCAGCUUUGUUAGAAUAAAUCCUAUAAAAAAAUAAAACUAAAACUCUUUUCCCCGGGACAUACAACAUCUUGUUUGAGAGAUUCUAACUGUUUUCUCAUCUUCAUAAUGUUACAAGUGAAAGUUAUUUCAGAUUUAAAGAACUGACUUGCAAAUAAAGGAACAAAAACAUAACUAAACAUUCAGUCUACUAUUACAAGUUGUGGCCGUAACAGAGGAAAGAGAUAAAAGUACCUGGUGGAUCGGAGUUUCCGGACAGCACGCGAUCCGAAUUGGGCUUUCGAAUCAACCCAAGAUUAAUAUUUCCGAAACUACCCUUCUCCUUCAAGUAACGGCUGAGCAGACUACAUCUCCGGGUAAAGUUGGACUUCUCCAGUGGUUGUGCCUUAGCGUUUUCAUUUCUCGACAUCUUGUAAAUGGUAAGGAGCAAUUCUCUAGAGUCAAGCCCUUUGUCAAAAAAAAAAAAAAAAUUCUCUAGAGUCCUUAUCUGUUAAUAUGUAUUGUUGUAUAAUACCUUCAUCUUGUUUUUUUUUAUUGUUUCCUGCGUGAAAUGGAAGAUAACAAGAGGGGAUGUGUAGAGCUCGCUCAUGUUUUUAUAACCUCAUUUUCUCUGGCUUUAAUAGCCUCCAAUAUUGUUCCAAAAAAAUAAAUAGCCUCCAAUAAAUUAAAGAAAAAAAAAGAGGACAAACUUUUCAUUUUGGGUUUUAUCAUUUAUGAUUUAAUGCUAUUUAUGAUACACAUUUGGAACUUUUUAGACUUUAAUACUUUGAGGUAUAUCUAUUUUUAAAAACUAAUUGGCAUAAUGCGUUUGCUAAUAUCAAAUAAUACUCUUUCUGUAUCACUUUAAGUGAUGCUUUAAGAUAAUUUUUUUUGUUUCAUUUUAAAUGAUGCUUUCAAGUUUCUAUGUAAAAAGUAAAUAUAAUUUUAUGUUUUUGACUAUUUGUAUUCUGCAGUAUAGUUUUCUAUUAGUUGAAUUAUAUGUAUUUAUUCUUGUUUUUAGACAAAUGAAAAAAGUUAAAUAAAAGUUUGUAAUUUUUUAAUAGGUGUGCAAAAACCUUAAAAUCCACUUAUUUUGAUACAGAGAGAGUACUCCACUGAUGUGAAAGAAAUUAGGUUUCAUACUACGUCAUUAAUUAACAAUAAUAAAGUUAAUAAUUCAUCGUUAUAUAUUUAUUAUUUUCUGAGUUGUUGUAAUAAAUCUAUCGCCUAUCUUAUUAUUAAAACUAAGGGUUUGGCCCGCCCUACGGGCGGGUGAAUUUGCACUAAAAUUAUUUUAUGUUUGAGUGUAUUGUAUUUUAAUUUUACAAAAUAUUUGAAAUUUUACUUUAUAUUGAAAAUAAUAAGUAUUAUAUGUUUUUAUUCUAAAAUUAUAUUUUAAACUUCGCUAAAUUUUGUUGGUUUGAAGUGAAAAACCACUAAAAUUGUUUUGUUAAAGAAUACAAAAUUAUUAAAUCAGAAAACUAAAGAAAAUGUAAUGAUUUAUAUUUCUAUUUGAUUUCUGUUUCAAUUUGAUAUAUUUGAAAAAAAUUAAAGUAAGAAUAAUUAAUAUUUUUCAUAUUUUUAAGAGUAUCAGAUUUUAAUAUUAUUAUAAUAACUAAUUUCUCACGAUAAUAAAUUACUACACCCACCUCCAAACUAAAUCAAUUGAAAAUCAAAUGUAAUGUGAUAAAAUUAUUAAAUUUUAUAAUUUAAAGUAAUAUACAAAUAUUUUCAAUAUUGUCUUAGUAUGUAUUAUGUAACAACAAAUGAUGUUUUAUAAUAUAUAUUUGUUUUAUUUUAUAUUAGAUUUUUAAUUUAUAAUAAAAUUUUCUUUAAUUUUUAGUGUUUUACUAAUUAUUUUUGUAAAUUAUUUUAAGCAUUUGUUGAACUUUUUUAUAAAAACAAUUUGUUGAAAAUUUUGCUCAUACUAUUUGAAAAUAUUUUAUAGAUUAAUAGUGUUAUAAAUUAACAAAUUAUUAUAGUUCUAACAUAAUUUUACUUGAGUUUUAUACCCUAUCUUAUUAAAUAAUUUACUUUGAGUGAACCAAACAUAAAAAAAAAAUUAAAUGUAGUAUAACCAUUAAUAAUCUGAAAAUUAAGAUGAACCAGACUGCGUAUAAAUGUUUUCUGGAAAAAAAAAAUUCUUAAAGAAAUAACUAAAUCCUUUAGUCUUUUUAAUGUUGGCUGUAUUGAAUGAAAGUAAAUAAUUCCUAUCUAAUCAAAUAUCUCAUUCUUAGUUUCAACAUAGUUGCAACGAUAACAUCGUAAAACAUAUAUAUAAUUACCUAACUAAAUGGAACAACACAAUAUGUUGGGUUUAUAUUUCAGCCCAAAACAAUCAAAGAAUAUGUCACCAAGCAAACAAUUAUGCACACUAAAACUGCAGUGUUUCUUGUUUUGAAGCUUAGAAUAAUUUUUUUAAAGAUUUAAAGAGAGCUAUGAAAAUCAGAAGCAUACCCUAAUUUCAUAACAAUCCCCAAAAACAGAGGAGAAAUCCUAAUUGGAUUUCACAAUGAUGACCUCAAAUGUUAUUUUCUCUCUUUUUCUGAUCAAAAAUAAAAACUCAUACGAUGAUGACAACGAAUGUUUGUUUCUCUACACUAAAAAUGACCACUAUUUCAAAACUUAUUUGUCUUUAUAUUCUCUGCUACAAAUAGAGAAAGCUGAUCUGAAAAUAACAAUCGUUGCAUAAAAGUAUCCCUUAUUUUUUCACCUGAUUCUUCAACUGCUUAUUUUUUUCUCUUUCACAUACACAGGUCUACGAUUUCGCUUUUACACAUAUCGAUCAGUGGCUGCUCAGAAGUUGAAUACUGGUUAAAAAACAUCCUAAAAUAGUUAACUUUUGUUGGAGUCCAACACCACAUGUUUCUUCUCUUUACCGCCAUUUUAACUUAUGUCAUCGCCACCAUCUCUGUCAACAUUCUCCUUGCAAUCCUCCAAACCCAACGUUGCGGCCUAUCCCUCGGCCCAGUCCUAUAAUUUAUAACCUAAGUGCACAUCCUCUGUUCCAGCUAAGAGACAUGUCUUUCGAGAGACAUAGAUAUAAGAGCCACCUGAAAAGUCCAAGUUGGCAUUUCCUUUCUUGUAUGAGAUCUAAGUCAUUAUUGGCUACAAAUGUUGGAAAAUAAUUCACUAUCUUUUAACUUAUAUACGCCACCAAAAUAGUGUCAGAUGCUUAAAAAUAAGUGCUAAUGUGGCAAUUACCCGUUAUUGCAAAUUCCUCCAGCGCAUCAUGUAUCCGAUUCUGAAUAUCCUCUAAAGGCCCAGAUUCUAAGCUUUAGGGAUGAAAGUAAGAGGUUAUCAAUUUAAAAGAAACAUAUGUAAUGACGACAUAAGCAUCUAACUUUAGGAAAUAAUAAUGUGAUUCCAACUAUAGUGACUCCAAGUAACUUUUAAAGAAAAGUAUCUUACCACACCAAAGAAUCGUUGAGGAACCCCUAGCCUCUGAGAUGAGGGUAACAUUUAUUUCUCUAAGCUUUAGGGAUGAAAAGUAAGAGGUUAUCAAUACAAUACUAAAAGGGCAAUAAGCUCAACAACUAGAGUAUCCACGUAGGCAAAUUUAAUCAGCCUAUCAUAGUAUUGAAUUAGGCCAUGUCACCCAAAUCAACCUAAACGACAUAUUAGGCAAAUUAAAUCGGCUGAACGAAGAAGAAUUACGAUCGAACGGCUGAGAUUUCUUCGUUCCAAUCUCUCAGUGCUCAGCUAUGGCGAUCCGUUACGCGAGCAAGGAACCUCGAUCCGAGCAAGACGACGACGUUUAGGAUGGCGGUUAACUGCCGGCACCGGCUUGAGUCGAGGAUGGAUCCUUAAUACUUCGGGAACGCGAUACAGAGCAUACCAACGAUGGCGACUGCGGGAGAUCUGCUAGCAAACGAUCUCCGAUGGUCUGCCGAUCAACUUCACAGGAACGUGGUGGCGCACGACGACGCGACGUUCCGUCGGGGAAUAGCCGAUUGGGAGAGCAAUCCGAGGCUGUUCCCUCUGGGAAAUGCAGACGGUGAGAUGGGGAGCUCGCCGAGAUUCCCAAUGUACGACAACGAUUUCGGAUGGGGAAAGCCGUUAGCGGUGAGGAGCGGAGGAGCGAACAAAUUCGACGGGAAAAUAUCGGCGUUUCCAGGAAAAGAAAAACUCGCGGUCGAGGAGAGGAACAUCUUUGCCGGGAGAGAGAACGUCGGAGACGAUGACGUGUUUGGCGGAAGCGGCGACAAAAUCAGCUCCGGCGUCGUUGCAGGUGAUGUAAAUGUGACCGGCGGGGCUGGUGUAGAAACGGCCGGCUAAAGGAGGGAAGAGGGAGAGAGCUGAGGAAAGAGAACGGCGGAGAGAAGAGACAAGGUCGUCGAAGGAGAAGGAAGGAGGAGGGGUGGCGAGGAGCACACCUUUUUGAAUGUUGUGACAUGAGAGCAUAGGAAGAUCAGAGACUGAGAGACGGAGAUCGGCCACGGUGGACUUCUUCUCCGGGUACACAAUGCACUUGGAGAUUAUUUCUCUUCACCACUAUCUCUUGCUUGACAAGAAAGGAAGUGAAAAGGGCACCGCAAAAACUUCGAAGCCGUUGGUUAAAGGCUUUGUGCAUGAUAACGAUGAUGAAGUCAUGAAAAUCACAAAGGUCUUGAAGAACAAAAGGGGAGGUGACCCUCUAUUCAGCGAAAUUCAUAUGUCGCGGUUGGAUCAAGCGGGGAUGACCUACACACCAUGGCUGAGCCAUUGCCAAGGGUUAAAAAAAAGAGUGGCCAGGUCAGUUAUCGUGAUCAAGCCAAGCUUCAUGAGCUUCAAGUCAUGUUUGUAGGGGAACCAAAACGUAGAACCCAGUACUCUACAAUUCUUGGUGCUUACUUUAGUGGUUUCAGGGAAGCCAAUAAGCUUCUCAAGCAUUAAAGUGUAGUUUUUGAGUGUUCGUUUUUAAGAUAUGUUUUCAGGUCAAUGUGUUUAGAGAAGCUUGGUUAGUUUUGUAAGGGUUAAAAAAAUUGUUUACUUUCAGUUUGUUUUUUUUUAAUUCUUUAUUACAAGUUUCAAGCACGAAAGAACAAUGAAUGGAUAUUUUAACUAAACAACAGUCAAUGGUUAAAGUUAAAAAGAAAGCAAGAUAUAAAGAUGUCUAAUUGAAUUUGCAUCUUUGUUUAUGGUUCACUAUAAGAGAGAGAAUGAAUGUUAUAUGUCACAAUUUUCUAUGGAGUAGGAAAGAAGCAUAAGAGAGAAGUAGAGAACAGUUGUGAAUGGUGUAUUAAGUAUGGUAAAAGCAAUAGAAUGUGUUUAAGAUCUAUAAGAUGAGAAGUAGUUCAUAUGAGCAGCUCAGGUUGGGGAAUGUCCUGAGGAGGAGGAAUGCACGGUUUUGGCUACAUGAGAAACACAAAGUUAAGAACUAAGACAACAUUUGUUCUUGAUUGAAACAACGUGAUGGGUGACUAAUGAACUGUAUUGUCGCGGGAAUUGCUUCUAGCUUCAGGACUUGAAAUGUCUACAUUUAGGGACAAGAGAUGAUUGAGGAGUGAGUUUUAGAGAGAAGUUUAUUAGAGUCCCAUAAUUUCACAUUUGAGCUUCUUUUCUUUUUGUUUAAUAUAUGUCCCAAUUUGGAGUUUAUUUUUAUUCUUCUUUUCUUUGCUGUAAAAUGACAAAUACAGACUAAAACCAAGACAAGAAAAAGCGAAAUUUGGGUCACAGCACUUUUAUUUUCAAUUUGGAUAGAGAAAAUAGAAAGAAGUCAUUUGAGAGAACAUGGUGAAGUUGAAUAACUAAAGUUAGGUGUUUGUUCCAUUUAAAUCAUGAGUAUUUGUACUCCCUACACACAACUUCCCCCUUAUUUGUACUCCAUACCCUAUUUCCCUUCAAUUUCCUCCCCCCCCCAUCACUACCACUUUUCCCCAAUUCAAUGGUAUCCCACUCUUUUCAAUAUAUUGAGCUAAUUUGCUCUUAAAUCAUUUCUAAAAUGAAUUUUAUUUUAAGGUUUGCCACUUCGCCUAAGUUGUUAUUCUCCUUUACCAAAACAUAAAAUCUAAAUUUUAAAGUUGUAUUUACAUUACAGUUUUCAAUUACUGAUAAGAAAUUGAAUAAUGAUUUGAUUGGUAACCAUGGAAUGGUAGAAUAGCAUUCAAAACGGUAUUUUGUCAGUUAACAAAAAUUAGUAGCAAUGAAAAACAAUGUAAAAAUGCAAGUUUAUUUUCCCCUGGCAAAAUAUAAAUUAUUAAAGUGAGUUUUUGAAGAUUACUAAAUUUAUAAAUAUAAAACACAAAUAAAAAUGUAAUACAAACAGGGUUGAUGUUAUAUUAGAAUAAAUAUAACAAUAAUUCAUAAAUUAUAUAAAAAUAUCAAAUGAUUAAAUAUAUCAUUUUAAGAUCGUUUUAUAUAUGAAUAAUUUGAUAGUUUUAUAAAAAUAUAUUAAAAUCACAAAGAUUAUAAUAAUAGAUUUAAAAUAAUAAUAUUCGUGAGGUGUAUAUUACCCUAAUGUAUGAACUAAUUUAAAAUACACUCAAGCUUGGCAGCAAAUCUGCCAAAAAAAAUUUAUCCUACGCAACUUCACGAUAUUAUUGAUAAUAAUUAAAACCCUGGUAAUAUAGAAAGAUUUUGGGCAAAAUAGCCGAGAAGCUUAGAAAUUUUUUUUAAACACGGUCCGAAAUAAAUUGAGAUCAUACACUAUUAAAAAGAGAAUAUGAAGGCAUGUUAAGGUGUCCACGUUAGUAAAGAAAUCGCAACCAAUCAUUUGUCCAUGUCAACAUGGAUGUUAAGUUGUUGGGCCACGAAUUUGUGCUGCGUAAUAGACACUUUAGCUUUAAUGACCGAUUUGUUUUGCCAUCUUCUUACUCCAACCUAAUUUUGUUAUGACGUCUACAGAAGACCUUCCAGAACUCACUGUUUUCCUAUCUCAUCUGUAUAACGCCUGCAACGGCUAUAAUGACGAAUUAAAGCUACUUAACUACUCCUCUAGACAAAUCGGCGUCUAACUCUCCACAUUCCUCCUCUUACUCAAUCAUAACGAUGCCUCCUCAAGCCAAAAAUCUAUUGUUCAGAUCCUCAAAUCCAUUCCUAGCUUUAUGGCAAAUCAAACGGCAGUCACCACCACCCAAGUUCAUUCUCCAUUUUUCUUCAGUAAGGUUUCAUCAGGACCUUGAGUUUCCCAGUUGCUUUUUCAGCUAAUCUAUUUCUGGAAAGCUCACAACAAUUCCAAAUGAGGCAUUCUUCUCGGCCUUGAGAUGCUGAUGAUUGAUGAAGAGGUACGUGUUCAUAUUUCAAUAUUAUGCUUCUGAUUUCAUACAUGUCUCUGAUUUUUUCUAAGAGAGAGAGAAUAUGUUAACAAGAUUAUAUCCUCAAACUCAACACCUAAGAAUUUUUAACGUUAAGAGAUAAUUUUUAAGAUUAGUUAAAUAAAUGACUAUCUGUGAAUAUGUUAAUGGUUCUCAAUAUCCUUUCAUGUAGUAACUAAAUAUAGAAUUGUUCAAAUUGAAAUCUACUACAUAUUUCACAUUUUUAUAACAAANNNNNNNNNNNNNNNNNNNNNNNNNNNNNNNNNNNNNNNNNNNNNNNNNNNNNNNNNNNNNNNNNNNNNNNNNNNNNNNNNNNNNNNNNNNNNNNNNNNNNNNNNNNNNNNNNNNNNNNNNNNNNNNNNNNNNNNNNNNNNNNNNNNNNNNNNNNNNNNNNNNNNNNNNNNNNNNNNNNNNNNNNNNNNNNNNNNNNNNNNNNNNNNNNNNNNNNNNNNNNNNNNNNNNNNNNNNNNNNNNNNNNNNNNNNNNNNNNNNNNNNNNNNNNNNNNNNNNNNNNNNNNNNNNNNNNNNNNNNNNNNNNNNNNNNNNNNNNNNNNNNNNNNNNNNNNNNNNNNNNNNNNNNNNNNNNNNNNNNNNNNNNNNNNNNNNNNNNNNNNNNNNNNNNNNNNNNNNNNNNNNNNNNNNNNNNNNNNNNNNNNNNNNNNNNNNNNNNNNNNNNNNNNNNNNNNNNNNNNNNNNNNNNNNNNNNNNNNNNNNNNNNNNNNNNNNNNNNNNNNNNNNNNNNNNNNNNNNNNNNNNNNNNNNNNNNNNNNNNNNNNNNNNNNNNNNNNNNNNNNNNNNNNNNNNNNNNNNNNNNNNNNNNNNNNNNNNNNNNNNNNNNNNNNNNNNNNNNNNNNNNNNNNNNNNNNNNNNNNNNNNNNNNNNNNNNNNNNNNNNNNNNNNNNNNNNNNNNNNNNNNNNNNNNNNNNNNNNNNNNNNNNNNNNNNNNNNNNNNNNNNNNNNNNNNNNNNNNNNNNNNNNNNNNNNNNNNNNNNNNNNNNNNNNNNNNNNNNNNNNNNNNNNNNNNNNNNNNNNNNNNNNNNNNNNNNNNNNNNNNGAAUAGUGAGAACAUCAAUUAUUUGGAAACAAAUUUUUUUUCUUUAAACAUCACUUAAAGUGAUACGGAGGGAGUAUUACUUAACACAUCCCCUUAUAUAUUAAUUUAGAAGUCACUUAAUUGAUUUCUGCUGAUGUGUCGCUCAUAGGAGAUCUUUCUAGUUAAUUGUUAUAAUUUGAUUGGUUGAUGGUUUUUAAAUUUUUAUUUAUUUAAUUAAAAUUUUUAAAAGUAAACUAACCCUAGAAUUACCUAAUCUAAUAUAUGUUUCUAAACAUACAAUUAAGCAUCUUAAAUAUAGAUAAAUUAAUAUAAUUUAUUUAUAGAAACAAUUAAAUAUCAUAGAUUACAUUAUAUAAAUUGAUAAUAUACAUUUAAAUACAUAUGAUACUACAGAAACAAUUAUAAAAAUAGUUUUUAAUAUAUUUAUAUUAGCAGUGGAUACAAUAAUCAUAGAUUCCAGAAAACGAAUUAAUGUAAACCUAAUAAUAUUAAAUUAAACUCACUCAUUCACUCUAUAUAUAUUCUUAAAUGUAUCAAAUGAACGCAAAACAAUCAAAUAUAUAAUUAUAAAACAUUCUCAUCAUUAUCCAAUGACAAUGUGAUAUCAUAUAUAAGUUAUCACUUUUAGAAAUGUACACACAAGAUCCAUCAUUUUCUAGCUUAUGAAUAUACAUAUUACUGAAAUAUAUACACAAGAUCCGUACAGGUAAUUAGUUAUAUCUGAAACUGAACCAAAUCUAGUUUUUGGGGUAGGUUCGGUUCUUUUGGUUCUGACUUUUUUGAGAAGUCCUGCUUACCACCAUGGUAGAAACAUAAGUAUCUGAAAUAUCUAGAAUGAAAAUGGAACUGAAAUAUACUUACUACAAAAAUUAUUGAAAUAGCUACCUAAUCUAGAACAAAAGUAAACUGCCCAAUCAAACUCCACGUCACCCAUAUAUGCAUAUUGAGACAUCCAUAAUCAAAAUGAAACUGAAGUUUACUCGUGUAGAUAUUGAAUAAUAAAUACCUCUGGUCAGUGUUCAAAACAAUUGCGGCAACUGGCAUUUACUGGCGACUAGGUGGAUAAUUCAGGUCUCGGUGGGUUUUAAUGGUUGAUGAAUUAUUAAUUUAUUUUUAUUUAUUUUAAAUUUAUAUUAUAUAUUCGAGUUUUAGGUUUAAUUAUCAAAUUAUUUUAUGAAUUAUAAAACCUAGAUAUACAAAAUAAAAUAUUUACACCAGUUUGCAUUAACAUUAUUGGUUAAUUUAAAAGAUUUCACCAAUUUAUAUGGAUCUAGACUAAUAUAUGCUAUUUUAUCUAAUUUAGAACUGUUACACAAAUUGGAUUUUAAGAAAAAUAUUUUGAUUAUAACAUUUGUCGUCUAGGCGUCCACGCAUACCCAUGUUUAUUUUAGAACAAUAUUGCUUAUGGCUAAAUACUAAUCUUUCUGUUUUAAAUUAUAUGAUGUUUUAGAAGGUUUAUAUUAUUUCAAAAUAUAAGAUGUUUUUAAGUUUUAAGAUUAAAUUUAACUUUAUUAGAUAUUGUUUAACCAAUUAGAUUUUAAUGUAUUUUUUAUAACUGAUUGAAUAAUUUUAAAACUAAAUCCUUAAAAAUUCUUUUAGAGAAAAAUAUGUUUAUUAAUUUCCGUGCACUAAGUCACAACAUUAUAUACUACUCCUUCUGUUUUUUAAUGUUACAUAUUCUAGAUUUUUCACACAUUUUAAUAAAACACAUUAAAUUUGUAUAUUUUUUUGUGUUUAUCUUUGUUUCAUAAUUUUAAACCAAUAAUAAUUCAGUAAGUGCAAUUAAGUUUUUUGAAAUUUGCAAUUAGUUAAUAAAAAAGGAAAAGCAUCAAUAGAGCUUUCUGCUGCUACUCAAAAUCAAGAACUACACAGAAAUGGUAAAAAAAAGCCUAUUGAUUUCUCAUUGUUCUUUUUCUGUUUCCUCACAUAUACAAAAGCAUUUUUGAUUUUGGAAAGGCAAAAAAAGUAGUGAAAUUAACCACAUAAAUCAUGCCUUAAAACCCUAAAAAUAAAGCUAGAAACUUUACAAACUCAAAGACAAGUUUCUCCAAGAAAACAAAAGAAAUGUAGAUUAAGCUACUAUACAAAAAUCAUAUCCAAGCUCAGUUGUGUAAGAAAUGUUAAGAGUAAAUAGGGGAAGAAACAAAAAUACCAUCCACGUUUUUGAAAGCCAGUGAAAACCCAAGGCUUAGGAGGAAGCUGAGGAUCGAAGAACCCAGCUCUAGCUUCCAAGAGACUUCCGGGUUUCUGCUUCAGAUGGGUGUUUCUCCUCAACGUGUUGUUGAUUUUCUCCGACCGUAAUCCAACAGAAGAUGAAGAAGAAGCGAGGCCAGAAGAAGGAAGGAGGUGGCUGAGUACGUGGCGGCUCUGGCUCAAGUGAGAAAAAGCGAGCUUCUUCUUCUUCAUCAGAGAUUUAGUUAGCUGCGAAGAAGAAGAAGAGCCAACGACGAACCUGCGAGAGAAAAGCGCAUGCGCAUGCAUUUUCUUUUUGUCUUUUUCUUCCAACAAAUUCAUUUCAAAUUUUACCAAAUGGCUCAUAUAGAUAUAGAAGAAGAAGAAGACAAAAAGGACGUAACUUCUGUAGAUUAUUAUAUUAUCAUGAGCUAUGUGUGAGGUGAUCUCCAACCCAACUCCUAAACACUAUUUUAGUGUGAAUUUUACACCAAAACCAUCUCCAACCCAACAUUAAAAAUCACACUAUUUUAGUGUAACACUAUAAUUUCAUACUAAAUUUGGUGUGACACUAUUCAUUACACUAUAAUACUAUUCACUCCACUAAAACACUAUUCACUUACUUUAUUAAUAAAUUAUAUUAUUAAAAACAAAAAAAUAAAUAAAUUAAAUAAAUAUAAUAUUAUAAAAUAUUUUUUAGGGUAAAGUUUAGUGUUGUGGUUGGAGAUGAAUUUGUUUUUAGUGUUGAAACUACACUAAAAUAGUAUGGUUUUGACACUAAAAUAGUAUUAUGGGUUAGCAACGUCAGCUUUUUUAUAUACAGUAGCAGUGCAAAUAUUAUUUUUCAGAAAAAUAAUAUCACACUAGCUGUUUUAAAUUUAUUCAAAUAAAAAAAAAUUGUAAAUCCUCAAGAGUUUAGGGAAAUUGUAAAUUAACUUGCAAAUAUUCAUUAAACAAUAACAUGCAUCUAUCAGAUUAAAAUAUAAAUUGUAUAUACAUUCAAGUCAAAGAAGCUACAAAACCAGAAAGUUCACAAGUAUUUGCCAGUCACUAUCCGUGCCCAUGGUGAUAGGAACCCGAGAUGUUGUUACUCUACAAUGUCAGUAACUUUGUGGUGAAUGUAUAUACAAUUUAGAAAAUACUCCCGAUUGAUAUUUACCAUGAUAUUUACACAUAUUACCUUUUUGUUUUACUUUUAAUUAAUUUAAAGUUUUAUAUGAUUUCAAUAAAAUUCAACCACUAAAUACUAAACUCUAAACAACUAACCCUAAACUCAAAUAUUAUAAUCUUUUUGAUUAAAUGUAUUUUUAAAAGUGAAUCCAGCUUAUUGUAUUUGAAGCAAUUUCUCUUUCUAAUUUAUGCUCUUAUCAUCCUUUGUCUAGGUCAGUUUAGUGCAAAGAAAAUUUUGAGCAAAUUACCAAACUUUCAUUAGGAUAUACUCAUGCGCAGAAGGGGUACAAGUGCUACAUACCUGGUCUCAAGACAAUGGAGAUACCACUACAAGGGACAAACAUGCAUGGUUGGUUAAGGUCUCAAGACAAUGGAGAUGCCACUACAAGGGACAAGCAUGCAUGGUGGGUUAAGGUCUCAAAACAAUGGAUUAUUAAUUUAUCAUAUCUCAUCUACCAUACUUGUAACCACUAUAUAUAUGAGAUGUUCUCAUAAGCAAAUCAAUCAACUGAAUAAGAUUAUCCUUCUUUACUCUCUCUCUCUCUCUCUCUCUUUCUUGUUCUUCACUAUGUUCUUUAGUGUAUAAGGAAGCAAACCGCUUAGCUGAUGGUUUGGCUAACCUUGCAUUUUCUCUUCCGUUUGGUUUUCAUAGUUUUGUUGUGGCACCGAUUGAGGUCGCUGUUUUAGUUCAUGAGGAUGUUGCUGGACCGUUGCGGCCACGACAAACUCGUCUUNNNNNNNNNNNNNNNNNNNNNNNNNNNNNNNNNNNNNNNNNNNNNNNNNNNNNNNNNNNNNNNNNNNNNNNNNNNNNNNNNNNNNNNNNNNNNNNNNNNNUGGCCCAAUCCCCCGGGAAAGCUACCGGUGCUUACAGCCACAGCCAGGUUUUGUGGCCUUUGUCAAUCUUAAACAGUGAAUGAUGGAUGAUACACUCUCUUAAUCUUCUGCUUUGUCUCUCAGGGUAUCAAGGGACUACGUGAUGCAAUUGCUGCUGGAAUCGAAGCACGUGAUGGCUUACCUGCUGAUCCCAAUGAUAUUUUCAUGACAGAUGGUGCAAGCCCUGGGGUAAACUAUCAUCAAACUUUCCCAACACUCAUGGAAAUUAACAGAACAAGUUGUUUUAGUGGUGACCAGUAAUGUUCCUCUCGUCGUUAUAGGUUCAUAUGAUGAUGCAACUUCUCAUAAGUUCUGAGAAAGAUGGAAUCCUUUGCCCUAUUCCUCAGUACCCCUUGUACUCAGCUUCAAUUGCCCUUCACGGUGGAAGUCUGGUACGUUCCUUGUACCUUUUAUAAUGACUGAAGUUCCCUUUUUCCUUAUGUUGUCAUCAUCUUCUUGUAGGUUCCUUACUACCUUGACGAAGCAUCAGGAUGGGGACUUGAAAUAUCUGAGCUGAAGAAGCAGCUGGAGGAUGCUAAGUCAAAGGGUAUCACUGUAAGAGCCUUGGCGGUUAUUAACCCUGGUAACCCAACAGGACAGGUUAGUUUGAUCUUCAACAUUAAAAAAACUACAAAUCUAUUCCGGUAAAGAGCUUUACAGUCUUGUCUAUUUUUUUUUUUUGGUUAAAGGUUCUUUCAGAAGAAAACCAGCGUGACAUUGUUGACUUCUGUAAGAAAGAGGGUUUGGUUCUAUUAGCCGAUGAGGUUUAUCAGGAAAACGUUUACGUCCCUGACAAAAAGUUCCACUCUUUCAAGAAAGUGGCCCGGUCUAUGGGCUACGGUGAGAAGGAUAUCUCCAUAGUCUCGUUCCAGUCUAUCUCCAAAGGUUUGACAAAAAAAAAACUAAUGUCUUAAGCUUAUGAAAAUGGUAUCUAAAACUGGAUUCGUUCUUUCAAAUAGGAUACUACGGAGAGUGUGGGAAGAGAGGCGGUUACAUGGAGGUUACUGGUUUCACUUCUGAUGUGAGAGAGCAGAUAUACAAAGUGGCUUCUGUGAAUCUUUGCUCCAACAUCUCUGGUCAAAUUCUUGCCAGCCUCGUCAUGAGCCCACCCAAGGUAUCAAAACAUGUAUAUAACUUCAUCAGCUGGUUUUAGCUUAAGCUCGGUUUCUAGAAUCUUUAACAGCUUUAAUGAAAUUUGAUCCAGCCUGGUGAUGAGUCCUACGAGUCAUACAUAGCAGAGAAAGAGGGAAUCCUCUCGUCUAUGGCAAGACGUGCAAAGGUUAGCCAUUCACAGAGAACUUUAUUAGUAGCAAUCAUGUUUUUUUUUUCUCUCUGGUGUUAAUACUUUUGAGCUCUCACUGUGCAGACUCUUGAAGAAGCUUUGAACAAGUUGGAGGGUAUAACAUGCAAUAGAGCAGAGGGAGCUAUGUAUCUAUUCCCUUGCAUUAACCUUCCACAGAAGGCGAUUGCAGCUGCAGAAGCUGCAAAGACGGCACCGGACACGUUCUACUGCAAACGCCUCCUAAACGCAACUGGAAUAGUCGUAGUCCCUGGGUCUGGAUUUAGACAGGUACCGGGAACAUGGCAUUUCAGGUGCACUAUACUUCCUCAAGAGGAUAAGAUUCCUGCAAUCGUGAACCGUCUCACUGAGUUCCACAAGAGCUUCAUGGAUGAGUUCCGCGACUAAGGGGAUUAAAUGCUUCUAAGAUAAGAUUAAAUCUUUGAGUAAUAAUAAGGAAGAAGGACCCAUGCCGCUUCUUUUCCGUCGACGUUUGUGUUUAAGAUGUGAGAGCAUCUUCUUAUUCAGCUUUUGUGUUGCUCUUUUGUAUUGGCUGAUACUGAUAAACAAGCAUAAGUUUUUUAUUGAGAAGAGUUUUUCUUAUAGACAAUUAAACUAAUUACUCAUUCAUGCUUUUUCCAUAAAUCGAGGUUACGUUUUCAUAUCUCUGUCUUCUUGGUGGCUGAUACGGAAGUGGAGAACGAUUCGCAGCUGGAAUAAAUAUAAUAUUCAAUUUCAAAAAAGAAUAUAAUAGCAGUUAAAUGCAGUGUUUUAAAACAGAUAAAAAAUUGAAUCAGAUAAUUUUUGGAUGUGACCAAACAAGGUCAAACCUGAUUUAAUAAUUUUGUUUAAUAUAUUUUUAGUGUAUAAAUUUAAAAGUAAUGUUAAUAAAUAAUACAUAAUUAAAAUAUAAAGAAAUUUAAAAUAAAACAUUAUAAAUUUAAACUAGUUUUACGUUUAUAUAGAUAUUAUAUCGAUUUUUGAUAUUUCUAUUAGUUUUAUCAACUUAAUUACUCUGAGAUAAAAUCCAGCCACUUGAUCGGUUCAUGUUUAUUAGAUCCAACUUGGCAAUGUAUCAUGUUUAUAGUCGAACUCGGUCAACCAUCGGAUUCGGUUUUAAAAACGCUUGUUAAAUGGUUAAUCAGAAUUUGACCUUUUUAAUAAGGGCAGAAAGGUAAAUCAGCCAAUUUUGGGAGAGAGCUUUGUGUGACGCCCAAAUCCAAAGUCAAACUCUGGUCCACUCUCUAAACUACACUGUUAGAGAGAGAGAGAGAGAGAGAGAGAGAGAGAGAUGGGAGCGGCGACGAUGAGGAAGAAGGCGGAGGAGCUGGUGGAGAAGGCGAUGAAGGGAAACGAUGCUUCUCACGAUGCCUCGCACGUGUGGAGGGUCAGAGACCUCGCUAUGUCCCUUGCUCGCGAGGAAGGUCUCUCUUCCAACUCCGACUCCAUGGAAAUUGUGAGCCUUACUAAAUCCUCUCCAAAGUCCCCCCUGAUUUGUUCGCCGGAAUCUGGAACCGUAGUUAGUUCCUGAUUCAGUGAGAGGCUGAUGUGUGGUUAUUAGCAAUAUAUGGUGGAGAUUUUCAUAGAAUGUGAGAUGUUUUUUCAAUGUGUUUUUCUCAUUUGCAGGUGGAGCUUGCAGCUCUUCUCCAUGAUAUAGGUACACUUCCCUUUUGGGCAUCUUUUUCUUUUUUUUUUUUUAAGUCAUGUGUUUUUUUUUGUAUAUUCCCACUGAUUUAAUCGUUAUGUGUAUCUCUCUCUAUCAGGUGAUUACAAGUACAUAAGGUGUUGUUUCUCUAUCCAUCUCUAGAGGUUUAUUUCUUUUUUGAACCGCUUAGUAGACUAACAUCCCUUGCACCAUUCUUUGAUCAUACUACCAAAAGAUUAAAUGCUUACUUUCUCUAUAAUUCCCUGCGUUUAAACUUCCUUUUAACUAACCGUGAGGGGCUGGAUACUAUCUCUUUCUAUAUACUGUAAUCUGUAGUGGAUGCCAUUAGAUUAGGCUUGUGAGGAAUGCCUUGCUCGGUUUGCUCACUCUAGGAUUAGUUGUGCUCUACUAACUAAGUUGAACUUAGUGUGAAAACUAUGAAUCAUGAAGACUUCGUUUUCUGCCUCUGAUGUUAUAACCUGAUUUUAGAGACCCUUCGGAAGCUAAGCUUGUUGAGAAUUUCCUGGAUGAUGAGGGUGUGGAAGAGACCAAGAAGGUGAAAAUACUAAAGAUCAUCAAUGGAAUGGGUUCGUUUCCUGCUCCAACUUCUUAACUCACCAAAUCUAGUCUACUAUAGCUCGCUUUAGUUCUCACUGCGGUUAAGUUAAGAGUUUGUAAAUAAAAAAAAGAGGCAUUAUGUUGUAUCUAAAUGUAUGAACAUGACAAAGAGUAUUUUUUCCAGGUUUUAAAGACGAAUUAUCAGGGCAAACACUCUGCGAAUCUCUUCCAGAGUUUGGGGUAGUUCAAGAUGCUGAUCGCCUUGAUGCCAUUGGCGCCAUAGGUUAGAAUGCUUCUCGACAGUUUAAAGAGCUUUUGAUCUGCCACUGUCAAAUUGUCUGCCCUGUUGUCUCUUUCUAUGUUUGUGCUCUUAGUUGUUUUUGAUCUCUUUAUAAUUUAGGAAUUGCUCGUUGCUUUACGUUUGGUGGGAGCAGGAACAGAGUGCUUCACGAUCCUGAGAUCAAGCCCCGGACAGAGUUAACCAAAGAGCAGUACAUGAAGAAAGAGGAGCAAACCACCAUUAACCACUUCCAUGAGAAACUCCUCAAGCUGAAGAAGCUGAUGAAAACCCAGGUGAGAUUUACUGGAAAACAAUUCUCUACAACUUUCAAAUUUUGUUUCGGUUUGAGAUUUGAAUGUGGUGCUGAAAAAAAAUAUCAGGCGGGUAAAAGAAGGGCAGAGAAAAGGCACGAGUUCAUGGAAGAGUUCCUUAAGGAGUUCUAUCAAGAGUGGGAUGGGAGAGCUUGAUAAAGUUGAUGCAUGGAGAAGAAAAGCAGAGGAUGUAUUCAAAGGGUUGCUUAACCGUACCUAAAUGAGUAAGCUGUACCAGACCAAACCGACCUACAUGUGGUUUGGGUUUAAACAGAGUGAAAAGUGAACAGCUGUUUUUGUUUUGAACAACAGUGAACAGCUGUUAAAACUCAAAUAUUUACCUCGUGAUGAUAUUAUAAACUAGUUUAAGGUUUGUCAAUGCUAUUUAUGAAUAUGAUUGUGGAAGGAAUCAAGGUUUACAUGAUAAUCCUAGUCUUUGUUUUUUUAAAAAGAAUGUUGACUUCCUGUUUCCAUUUUUAAGUCUUCGUUCAGUAAUAUUCCUGCCAAUUGACAUGGUUUAAGAAAACGUUUCUGGAUGUUUGAGUAAGUCAUUGCGAAGCUAUCAUCGGUCGGCCAUCAAAUGUCAUGUUCUUGGUUUGAAUUUGUAUAUUUUAUACUCAAGUGACGUAACUAUAAAAUUUAUAAGCGUAAACUUUUUUUCGGAAACACAAGCGGAAACUUUUAUAUUGAUAACAUUUGCAACUCUAUUUACGUUAAUAUAAUAGUUUUUUUAGGUAUUUUUCUCACAAAGUCAGUCGUUAAAAAACAAUAUUUGGGAAGAGUUUGAACUUAUCAGACAAGUAAUUCGAUGGAUAUUCCUAAUAUAUAUUAUUUAUAGUAUUUAAAAGCAUGGAAUGAACGAAUUGUUAACAUAUAUCCAAGUCUUUUGGUUUGUAGUAUUAGAAAACCAUGAGACUAAUCGCGAUCGCGUAUAAACAAUAAUCUAUCGUUAUACAUAACACAUGUCCAUCAUUAAGAGGACUCUGGUUAUUCUAAACAACGAAUGGGUCGGCCAUUGCGUGUUGAAAUUGUGUGUUAAGUAAAACAUUAUAGUUAAUCAAAUCCCAAAUAUCUAACCGUCUCUAACAUGCAUUUUCAGUUCUUUAUGCAACCAAAAUCAUAACUAAAAUUGACAUUUAUAAACUAGAAUGUUUAUAAACGAAUGUAUCAUUUAUAAACUAGACUGUUUACAUUCAUUUUGAAUUAGUUGAAAUUAACAUUUAUAAACAAAUAAUAGUAUCUGUUUUUUUUGUCAGCACAAUAAUAGUAUCAUUUGCAAAACUUUAGAUUAUAUAUAUAUAUAUAUAACUCGCAAAUAAAUAAAAAAGGUCAUGAUCGUGAAGGAUUAUUUUAUGGAGGUUAUGUAGACCCAAAUCUUCCUCCAUGUGUUUAGCGUGCAACUCUACGACAUUCCAUCGUUAAAAAGUUAAAAAGGCGUGGGAACAUUAAUUGAGAUCAAUAAUUUUACAAUCAUUUCAUCCGAUUAAAACUUAAAAUAUACACUCGGAAACUUCGGUGAAAAUAUAUUCACAAGCUGACUAAGAGAAAGCAAAAUGAGACUGUCUUUCUAAGAUUUUUAAAUAUUUGACAAAGAAAAGGUGAAAGCGUAAUAAUACUUAGUUUAAGAAAAAAUAAUAAUACUUUUUUCUCACUAAAUAUGAUUAGAUGUAUAUAAUCUACUAGAGAGGGAGAAAACUAAAAAGAAGCAAAAAGGCUGACAUUUUUAUCAUAAAACAAUGUGCUCUGAAAACGGCAGCGUAUCGCAGAGGCUAUAAAUACAGUCCAUUUAGCGCCGAAAAGGUAACAAAGAAAAAAAAAGUUUUUUUUACCAUUUAAAAAAAAAACAGGUCUUCUCUUCUCUCCCUCUCGGACCUAGUCACAUCCUCGACGGCUCCACUCUUCCUCGAAUCAUCUUCUUCGUCCUUAUCCUCUUCACGAGCCUCUUCUGUGAAAUUCAAUCCGAUUUAUUCUUCUUCAUUCACGCUCUAUAUAUACAUCUCACCUCACCUCGUCUGGUCAGCUCUGUUUCUCUUCAUCGACCGGUUCGAAAUCGGGGUCAAACCGGCUCCGAGCUAUCUACCAGGUUCGAGGAUUUCAAAUUUUAAUCUGGUCUGAUGGGAUCGGAGCCUCGGGAAGACCCGAGGCGCGAACUGAUUGACUUGCCUGUUCUUCACAAACUCAAACUCUACAGUACUCGCACGGUACGCGAAAAUAUCUCCUCAUCUCCCGCUUAGUUUAUUGUUCUUGAUUCGCAUCAAUGUGAUCUUUUACCGUCAACUGAUCUACCGAUAAUUACGUUAAUACAUUUAUGGUUUUAAUGGAUUUUCGAUUAUGUUUUAAGACAUAACAGCAUUAUUCUCCGGUUUGCAUUAAAAAAACGGUUCGGUUUUUGUUUAAUGAAACUGUUUUUUUUUUUAUGUACUUGCUUGGUGGUUUCAUAUGAUUUGUAGUGUAAGGGAUGAGUCUUUAGCUUGACAUCAUGUAGCGUCUUUGGUUCUAAGUUUUCUAUUAAUAAAUUAUUAAUAUAAAAAAAAAUUAUAGUGAAAAACUACAUUUUGGUUUGAUGUUUGUGAAUGAAUUUGGUUGUUUUGUGCAGAAUUUUUACUUGAUUGGGAGAGACGAGAAGAAAACUUUUUGGAGGAUUCUUAAGAUUGAUCGAACGGAACCGAAAGAGUUGAAUUUGUUUGAAGAUCCGACAAAGUAUACACAUGAUGAAAUCAGCCAACUUAAAAAAUGGAUUAGUAGAGGGAACCAGGAGCAUGGUGGACUUAGAGCAGAGACUACUUGCUAUGGUAUCAUUGGUACGUCAGUCCCAAAGCAUUGUCUUUCUUUUUUAUUUUCUCAUUUUUAUGUGUCGUUGAAGCUAUGGAGCUAUAAUGAUUCUCUGGGUGCAGGGUUUGUUAGAUUCUUGGGGCCUUAUUACAUGCUUGUGAUUAGAAAAAGGAAGAAAGUGGGGGAGAUCUGCGGCCAUGCUAUCUAUGGUGUAGCGGAGAGUCAAAUGAUCAUGGUUCCGUAUCCUUCUAGUGAGACGAGAGUGUCUGGUUCUGCAGCCGAGCGAAGGUAUAGGAAGCUCUUCAACAUGGUGGAUCUUAGCAAAAACUUCUACUUCAGCUACACGUAUCGCCUCAUGUACUCCCUCCAGAAGAACAUCUGCAACACUGAGAGAGGAAAAAUUCACGACAACAGCAUGUUUGUCUGGAACGAAUAUUUAACACGAGGGAUCAGAGGGAUCCUCAAGAAUACCGUAUGGACAGUUGCAUUAGUAUACGGAUUCUUUGAACAGGUAGCUAUAAAAUGCAUGCAUAUAUGAUUGGUUUAGUAACAAGACCUAAUCACUACUGCUCAUUUGCUGUUGUACUACAGAUUAAAUGUUCAGUAUCUAAUGAAGAAUUUAUUUUGACUGUCAUUGCUCGGCGUUCACGCCGUUAUGCUGGUACAAGGUACUUGCUAUAUAUGUUCUAUUUUCCUGUCUUUUAUCUCUGUUAUUUUUUUCUCUCAUGGACUAACAAUCCUUGCCUCCUCUCUCGGUUAAUGUGCAGAUAUUUAAGGCGUGGUGUGAAUGAGCAAGGCAGCGUAGCCAAUGAGGUUGAGAUAGAGCAGAUCGUUUCCAGAGAGGUUCCAGAGGGGAAGAAAAUCCCUAUAACAUCAGUUGUGCAGGUUCGAGGCUCCAUACCGCUAUUCUGGUCCCAGGAGACAUCUGUGUUCAAUCCACAACCCGACAUAAUAUGUAAGCACCACUGACAUAUAGAUCCUUGUUUCUUACAUUAUUCUUAACGCUUAUGUUUCUCUCUUUUACCGGCCACAGUAAAUAACACAGACGAGAAUUACGCAGCUACUAAGCUCCACUUUGAGAAUCUGAGACAGAGAUAUGGGAAGCGGAUAAUCAUCAUGAAUCUUCUAAAAGUAGGCUUUCUGAACUUUACUAGGACAACAAGUCAAAAGUUUAUACACUGGUUCCUCCUUUUCUUGGAUUGCUGGAAUUUUGAGUGUGUAGCUUUGCUAUUCUGCGAUAUUCAGACAGGUGAUAAAGACCAUCGAGAAAGCAUCUUAAAGGCAGCGUUUGGAAAGGCAAUCUGGUUUAUAAACAGACAGACGAAGAAGGAUAGCCGCUUAAAAGCAAUCCAUUAUGAUCUAAACAAACACUUCAAAAGGUUCUCUACCACCUAUUAAGAAGAAACUGAUGGGGUUGGUGUAAUAAGUCUAAACCCGUUUUUUUCCUUGCCCUUUUGCAGCGGAGUUGAUGGUGCAUUCGAGCAGCUGUGUGUCCUUGGGAAGAGAGCGUUGGACUUGAUUGACUUAUUCUUCUGUGAAGCUCCUUUAGGCAUUGGAGCUGAAGGCGUUAUUAACGACUCAUUUUUAAAGUAAGUUUGGUAAUGCUAUAUGUAUGUUAUUAGUAUAUAUGCAUCCUAAUAUUAAUGUUACCCAUGCUCCAGUAACCCUAUUAUGAAUCAAGAUAAAGAGGAAACUAUUCAAGAAAAUGAAUCUUUGAAGGCGGAUAUACAUAAGCUUCAAAGUGGGGUGUUGAGGACAAACUGCGUAGACUGCUUGGAUCGUACUAAUGUUGCUCAGUACUCCCACGGAUUGGUAGCUCUUAACCAGCAGCUGCGUACAUUGGGUAUCACAGGACCUCCUAUCGUCGAUAAAGACAACCCCGUGGCAAAGAAACUGAUGGAAGUUUACGAAAACGCGGGUGAUGCAAUUGCAAUUCAGUAUGCUGGCUCGGAAGCUCACACCAAGGUGAUUUUUGAUCUCCCAACACAUUUUUCUAUUAAGCUUGAGUUGCUGUUGUUGAACUAUGUGUGGUUUAACAGAUGUUCAGUGCGCUGAGAGGUGAGUGGAACAUGAUGAUGAAACACCGUGACAUCAUCACAGCUGUUCGUCGUCACUACAACAACGCUUAUCAGGACGGCGAAAAGCAGAACGCUAUCAAUGUGUAAGCUUUGGAAACUUCUCAUCUUUUUUUUUUAUUAACUUGUUAUGUAUUUGUCUGUUCUAAAAAUAAUUUCUCUUGACAGGUUCUUGGGGAAAUCCGGGCCUCAACUGGGGAGGCAAGCCCCGUGGGAGUUGGGUUCUGACCAACGCAACACUAGAAGAACUAGUUCUAACCUAGACAUCGAAACCCUGAGGUACCUUGUUGACCAAACAAGCUCUCUUUAUAAGUUGACAUAUAACUUGCAAAAGACUGAGAUAUGUUCCAAUACACAACAGGCCAAAAAUUUCAAGAUCCUUAUCGGAUAACCUUCUCUUAUUGGGUGAACUGAAUCUGGAGGAGCCGAUACUCGAAAAUCCAGAGCCUUCACGUGAAGGGUUAAACGGUGUUAUAUGGGAAACAACUUCAGAAUCUGGAUUCAUUGAAGCUGAACCAACUUCUCCAACGUGGGUUCAUCAAAGUCUCUUUUAUUUAACUUCUUGUAAAGAUCUCGUUUGUUACUUAUGUCUGAUUCUUCUUCCUCUUUUGGUAAACAUCUUCAGCUUCCACUCGGCUAUUGUCGAUGAGGAUCAUUUGAGACGAACAGGAUCAAGACAAAUGUUACAAGGGAGUAGCUCUAUGUCUGAUUUUCUUGGUCUGGAUGAUGUACCUGGUUUUUCACACUCAUACAAUGCUAGAUUCACUCCGGCAGAUGAAAUGUUUGAAAUCUGCAGGUAAAAUUUUAUUAUUUUAAGUAACUGAGGUAUAUCUAUUCUCUUAUAUAAUGCAGGCCUGGUAAAUUAAUGAUGUAAAUGUUUUGUGCAGCUCCGUGUCGUCAGAUAACAUGUUCACGGACCUGGACGAAUCCAUCACUUCUACAACUGAUACGAACAUUCUUGAGGUAAUAGUCCUUCAUCACCAUAUCACCUUUUAAUUAUUCAAGUUACUUGUAAGCUUAGUAGCCAAACAAAGACACUGACCGGGUCGUUUUUUUUUCUCAUCUUGAUAGUUUCAUAGCAGUUCGAAUCAACCAGGACGUUUCAUUGAAUUUCCUUUAGUAGAUGGAUACUCAAAUGAAUUCACUCAGUGGGUUCUACACGAAAAAUCAUCAUUGUCAAGGGCUCCGAGAUGAAACUUGUGCCUUGCACGGGAAGUUAACGGACGUAAGGCAGGGUUGGACAGGCAUGAUACACACGCACACACACACAAUAACAGCCACAUCUUUGUACAUACCCGAUUCAGCUUUGUAAAGGUCCUUGUUUCUUGUAUUUCUUUCUCCUACCAAGGUUGAUUUCUAUCUCUUUCUUUCUUUUUCAUCACCCACAAAAAGUUGAUUUUGUUUGUUUUUUGGUAUAUAGAGGGGUUGGUUUGGUUCAAUUUUUCUAGUAAUUUGUGGCGGCCCAAUUGGCUGAACCGCAAUGNNNNNNNNNNNNNNNNNNNNNNNNNNNNNNNNNNNNNNNNNNNNNNNNNNNNNNNNNNNNNNNNNNNNNNNNNNNNNNNNNNNNNNNNNNNNNNNNNNNNNNNNNNNNNNNNNNNNNNNNNNNNNNNNNNNNNNNNNNNNNNNNNNNNNNNNNNNNNNNNNNNNNNNNNNNNNNNNNNNNNNNNNNNNNNNNNNNNNNNNNNNNNNNNNNNNNNNNNNNNNNNNNNNNNNNNNNNNNNNNNNNNNNNNNNNNNNNNNNNNNNNNNNNNNNNNNNNNNNNNNNNNNNNNNNNNNNNNNNNNNNNNNNNNNNNNNNNNNNNNNNNNNNNNNNNNNNNNNNNNNNNNNNNNNNNNNNNNNNNNNNNNNNNNNNNNNNNNNNNNNNNNNNNNNNNNNNNNNNNNNNNNNNNNNNNNNNNNNNNNNNNNNNNNNNNNNNNNNNNNNNNNNNNNNNNNNNNNNNNNNNNNNNNNNNNNNNNNNNNNNNNNNNNNNNNNNNNNNNNNNNNNNNNNNNNNNNNNNNNNNNNNNNNNNNNNNNNNNNNNNNNNNNNNNNNNNNNNNNNNNNNNNNNNNNNNNNNNNNNNNNNNNNNNNNNNNNNNNNNNNNNNNNNNNNNNNNNNNNNNNNNNNNNNNNNNNNNNNNNNNNNNNNNNNNNNNNNNNNNNNNNNNNNNNNNNNNNNNNNNNNNNNNNNNNNNNNNNNNNNNNNNNNNNNNNNNNNNNNNNNNNNNNNNNNNNNNNNNNNNNNNNNNNNNNNNNNNNNNNNNNNNNNNNNNNNNNNNNNNNNNNNNNNNNNNNNNNNNNNNNNNNNNNNNNNNNNNNNNNNNNNNNNNNNNNNNNNNNNNNNNNNNNNNNNNNNNNNNNNNNNNNNNNNNNNNNNNNNNNNNNNNNNNNNNNNNNNNNNNNNNNNUUUAGGGUUUAGGGUUUAGAGUUUAGGGUUUAGGGUUUAGAGUUUAGGGUUUAGGGUUUAGAGUUUAGGGUUUAGGGUUUAGAAUUUAGAGUUUAGGGUUUAGAGUUGAGAAAUGAGGUUUUGGGGAUAAGAUUUUAGAUUUUGAAAAAUAAAAAAAAUUAAAAUUUUCAAAGGAUAAACUUAGAAAGGUGCUAUUUUGGUCAUUUUAGUUUUUGAGUGCUAUUUUUGUGAUAUAAACUUAGAAAUGUGCUAUUUUGGAGAUUUGCCCUUCAUAUUUCAUUGUCGUUAAGUAAUUAUAUAUAACCUAUAAAAUACCAAAAAGCAUAUAAAAUUUUAUCCAAAAUCUGAUUAAUGACAUAAAAAAUACCAUAAAUUUUAUCUCAUUAUCCGAAUUAUAUUUUUUGAAAAUCUAAAGCUUUAUCCAAAACUAUUCCCAAAAACCUAAAUCAAAAACUUUAAAAAUACCCAUAAUAACAAAAACCCAAUAAAAUAAAAAGAUGGUUCAGUUCGGACCGGAAUUUUUUGGAUCGGUUUUGGAUUAGACACGGAUAAAAUAUCCAGGCCUUUAAAAAACUCAAACACCCACAUUAAAUCCAUAGCCCAAAACAAUAUUCAGAUAGAUAAGGGUUUUUGAAUGAUUUUUAUUAUUUCGAUAAAAAAGAAUGAUUUUUAUUUAUAAAUUAUAAAUUAUAUAUUUAUAUAGUAAAUAUGCUUAUUUUAAAAUUAAAAAUAAUUAGUGAUAUGUAAACUGAAUAUAUAUUAUAAUAUUUAAUGAAUGAUUUAUAGAAUAUAACAUAUAAAUAAAUAAUAUGUCUUAUAUCCAUUUUUAAAAUAAAUUUGUCUAACAUAAAUUAUUACUUAAUAUGAUAAAUAAAAUAAACUAUGAAACUAUAAUGUUGAGAUAAUUAAAGGCAAGAGGAAUACAAGGGGAUAUAUGUUGUGCUCGAUGCGGAGAACCGGAGGAAUCAAUAAACCAUGUGUUUUUUGAAUGCCUCCCAGUACGUCAAGUAUGGGCUACAUCUAAAAUCCCAUUGAAUCACAAUUUGUUUCCUACAUGAUCUUUUUUUGGUAAUAUGGAUCAUUUGUUAUGGCGAGUUAAUCCAAAGAUGGAUGACCAUCAAUUUGCUUGGAUAUUAUGGUAUAUCUGGAAAUGUGGAAAUAAUAAAGUAUUUAGUAACCUGGAUAUUAACCCAAGGAAAACACUCAAAUUAGCAGAAUUGGAAUCUUCACUUUGGGCUGAGGCACAUGUAAUCAAUGACCAAAAGAGAGAAUUACAGGUACAGACCAGAUCCACAUUGGUAACUACAGGACGCUGGUGUUUUAUAGAUGGUUCAUGGAAAGAUAAGGAUCUAUUUUCAGGACAAGGCUGAUAUAGUACCCUACCGGGUUUCGAUGGCUUAUUAGGGGCAAGGAAUGUAAGGGCAUGUCUUUCACCCCUCUAUUCGGAGGUGGAGGCUCUGAUCUGGGUAAUGGAAUGCAUGAAGAAUUUAAGACUUUUUCAGGUUACGUUUGCAACGGAUUGUUCUCAAUUGGUGAAGAUGGUUUCGGAACCAGAAGAAUGACCAGCAUUUGAAAGUUAUCUGAAAAAUAUCAAGGUCUUACAAAGAAGUUUCUUCAACUCAGAGAUCGUUCAUGUACCUCGGACGGAGAAUCUAAGGGCGGAUAGCUUAGCACGCAGUGCUAGAAAACAACCGUCUUUCGUCGUUCACAUGGAUGCGGAGUUACCGAUUUGGUUUACAGAGUCAAGUUGAGUCUGUGAAUGUCUUUGUUGUCAAAAAAAAAGAAGAUAAUUAAUGUUUAGUUUGAAAAUGAAUCAAAUUAACUAAAUAAAACUAUUGAUAUACAAUAAUUAUGAAUGAAACACUGGUGAUUUCAAUAUAUUUUAUAAAAUGUAUAAAAUAUAAUAAAUAGAACUGACAAAAAAAGUUAUUUUCAAUUUGUGUAAACAAUGAAGAAGUGUUGUUUAUUUAAAGAUAAUAAGAUAAUAUAUAUUUAUAUAUUACUAGUGGUAUUUGGUUCGUAUAUUUUAUUUUUACAUAAAUUUACUAUUCAUUUUUGGUUUUAGUAAAAAUAUAUGUUCACAAAUAUCAAAAUGAUAAUUUGUUGAAAGAAAAUAGAUUUUUUGAUCCAUUUAAUAGUGGUUAACGGCUGUAAUGUAUUACUUUGUUUUGAAGUUGCUUAGUUCAAAGUGGAGUUGCAUAAGUGUGUGACUAAUCGAUUCGGUAAAAAUAGAAUAAAAUCGAUCAUCGUAAUAAAGUUAAUUUAGUUGGAAUUCAAACAUAAAGUAAAGUUGAUGUUUUAUUUAGAGAAAAUACUUAUAUUAUUAAGUACUAUGUGUUUAGUGUACAGAAGGAACAUCAUUUGAAAUUUUAUUUUAUAGACUAAUAUGAAUUUAGACAUAUUUAAUUAAGUUUUGUUUUAUAUAUUCUUCUUAUUUUAUUUUUGGUAAGAAACUCAUUCUGGCAUAAAACAUAUUAGGAAAUGAGAGAAAACAUUUAUAAAAUUUGUUUUAAAAUUAAUAAGAAAAUCAAAAAAUUAUGUAAACGAAUCUGAAAAUUAGAACAUAAAAAAAGCCCCUUAAAAAUUGUAAUAAUGCUGAAUCAUAGAUGAUUUUCUCUACAUAUGGGACAGCUUAUAUUUGUACGAAGCCACUAAUCAAUGUAGCUGAAAUGGAAAGUAUAGCCGCAACUAAGAGCAUAGAUAGAUUCUAUUGUUUUAAUUUUCGAAGCGAACAGUGCAUGUAUCGUCUUCUUCUUAUGUAGUUGGAGGCCUAUUAGUUUCUUCAAGAUUGGUGAUGACAAGGUCGACGUCAAGUCAUGCAGUUGCAUUUUAGUUGUAGUCGGUGAUGGUAAGAGUAACUUGAAGAUCAUCGGUUAUAUUAUUGUUUUCGUCUGUUAGUAAUUUCAUCACAUAUUGGGUUGUUUCUUAAAUAAGCUGGGGUGAGUCGGGAUAGAUUGUUGUGUGCUGUGUCUAUUGAUGUAGAAUUGGAGUGUGUGAUGGGGAUUUGCUCUUGAAGGUUUUGUUUGGUUUGAAAAUUUAUAAGAGAUAAAUGGUUCGUUAUUGUUUCUUUUAUCAAACCAGAUUCUAUGCAUGAGUGUUUGUAGAAGCAUAAUAGUUGUUUCUACAAUUAAAUGCUCUUUCAGGGUCGACGUUUGUUUUUGCCAUCUUGAUGCAGGGCCGUCGAGAAGCUGAAGCUACUAAAUGAGGCUUUGGGUGCUACCAAAAAGAACGUGGCGAGGCUUCAAGAGCGUCAUCAUGUGGUUCUCAAAAAGAUAUGUUCUUAUACCUUGUUAACGCCGAGCUCCAAGAAGCUUUGGUUGAAGCUCGAGCAGCCAUUGAUGUUGCUUUAAGUUUUGUCAUGGAGCUUAGAAGGUUACAAUUGAAUAUUAAACUCUAUUCCAUGAUCAACUUCUGAUACUUUUAAUCUUUGUAAUUAAAUAUAAGUAAAACGUAUCAAUGGUGAUUUAAAUAUAUUUGCUUCUUUGGGUUAAUUAACGAAAGAUAAUGCUUCUUUAGUGUGGGGGAUGAAUCCUACAGCUGAGGUUAAUCAAGUGUUUUAUAUAUUUCCUUUCUUUCUGACUCCCCCCACGUUUAGUAAAUUAUACAUCUGCCCAUCAUCAACAUCGUGUAAGAACCCAAACAAAACUAAAGAAAUACAAUAUGAACGGUUAACUUCAUCAAGAAUCGGUUUGCUAGCGUGGCAGUAGAUGGUAAUAUAACAUCUUGCUGAGUAUAUUAAGCAAAUCGUAAACCGUCAUAAAACCAAAAAAAAAAGGUACUUGUAUUUGUAAGAAUUAGGAAGUACUGGAAAAGUAAUUUUUGAAUGAUUAAAUGUAUUAAGUACUGGAAAAGUAAUUUUUUUCAAUGAUUCAAUAUGUUUUUAGAUAUGUUUGUUCAUAAAACAUCAAAAACUAAAAAUUAAUGAGUCCUACGAGUCAUACAUAGCAGAGAAAGAGGGAAUCCUCUCGUCUAUGGCAAGACGUGCAAAGGUUAGCCAUUCACAGAGAACUUUAUUAGUAGCAAUCAUGUUUUUUUUUUCUGGUGUUAAUACUUUUGAGCUCUCACUGUGCAGACUCUUGAAGAAGCUUUGAACAAGUUGGAGGGUAUAACAUGCAAUAGAGCAGAGGGAGCUAUGUAUCUAUUCCCUUGCAUUAACCUUCCACAGAAGGCGAUUGCAGCUGCAGAAGCUGCAAAGACGGCACCGGACACGUUCUACUGCAAACGCCUCCUAAACGCAACUGGAAUAGUCGUAGUCCCUGGGUCUGGAUUUAGACAGGUACCGGGAACAUGGCAUUUCAGGUGCACUAUACUUCCUCAAGAGGAUAAGAUUCCUGCAAUCGUGAACCGUCUCACUGAGUUCCACAAGAGCUUCAUGGAUGAGUUCCGCGACUAAGGGGAUUAAAUGCUUCUAAGAUAAGAUUAAAUCUUUGAGUAAUAAUAAGGAAGAAGGACCCAUGCCGCUUCUUUUCCGUCGACGUUUGUGUUUAAGAUGUGAGAGCAUCUUCUUAUUCAGCUUUUGUGUUGCUCUUUUGUAUUGGCUGAUACUGAUAAACAAGCAUAAGUUUUUUAUUGAGAAGAGUUUUUCUUAUAGACAAUUAAACUAAUUACUCAUUCAUGCUUUUUCCAUAAAUCGAGGUUACGUUUUCAUAUCUCUGUCUUCUUGGUGGCUGAUACGGAAGUGGAGAACGAUUCGCAGCUGGAAUAAAUAUAAUAUUCAAUUUCAAAAAAGAAUAUAAUAGCAGUUAAAUGCAGUGUUUUAAAACAGAUAAAAAAUUGAAUCAGAUAAUUUUUGGAUGUGACCAAACAAGGUCAAACCUGAUUUAAUAAUUUUGUUUAAUAUAUUUUUAGUGUAUAAAUUUAAAAGUAAUGUUAAUAAAUAAUACAUAAUUAAAAUAUAAAGAAAUUUAAAAUAAAACAUUAUAAAUUUAAACUAGUUUUACGUUUAUAUAGAUAUUAUAUCGAUUUUUGAUAUUUCUAUUAGUUUUAUCAACUUAAUUACUCUGAGAUAAAAUCCAGCCACUUGAUCGGUUCAUGUUUAUUAGAUCCAACUUGGCAAUGUAUCAUGUUUAUAGUCGAACUCGGUCAACCAUCGGAUUCGGUUUUAAAAACGCUUGUUAAAUGGUUAAUCAGAAUUUGACCUUUUUAAUAAGGGCAGAAAGGUAAAUCAGCCAAUUUUGGGAGAGAGCUUUGUGUGACGCCCAAAUCCAAAGUCAAACUCUGGUCCACUCUCUAAACUACACUGUUAGAGAGAGAGAGAGAGAGAGAGAGAGAGAGAGAGAGAGAGAGAGAGAGAGAGAGAGAGAGAGAGAGAGAGAGAGAGAGAGAGAGAUGGGAGCGGCGACGAUGAGGAAGAAGGCGGAGGAGCUGGUGGAGAAGGCGAUGAAGGGAAACGAUGCUUCUCACGAUGCCUCGCACGUGUGGAGGGUCAGAGACCUCGCUAUGUCCCUUGCUCGCGAGGAAGGUCUCUCUUCCAACUCCGACUCCAUGGAAAUUGUGAGCCUUACUAAAUCCUCUCCAAAGUCCCCCCUGAUUUGUUCGCCGGAAUCUGGAACCGUAGUUAGUUCCUGAUUCAGUGAGAGGCUGAUGUGUGGUUAUUAGCAAUAUAUGGUGGAGAUUUUCAUAGAAUGUGAGAUGUUUUUUCAAUGUGUUUUUCUCAUUUGCAGGUGGAGCUUGCAGCUCUUCUCCAUGAUAUAGGUACACUUCCCUUUUGGGCAUCUUUUUCUUUUUUUUUUUUUAAGUCAUGUGUUUUUUUUUGUAUAUUCCCACUGAUUUAAUCGUUAUGUGUAUCUCUCUCUAUCAGGUGAUUACAAGUACAUAAGGUGUUGUUUCUCUAUCCAUCUCUAGAGGUUUAUUUCUUUUUUGAACCGCUUAGUAGACUAACAUCCCUUGCACCAUUCUUUGAUCAUACUACCAAAAGAUUAAAUGCUUACUUUCUCUAUAAUUCCCUGCGUUUAAACUUCCUUUUAACUAACCGUGAGGGGCUGGAUACUAUCUCUUUCUAUAUACUGUAAUCUGUAGUGGAUGCCAUUAGAUUAGGCUUGUGAGGAAUGCCUUGCUCGGUUUGCUCACUCUAGGAUUAGUUGUGCUCUACUAACUAAGUUGAACUUAGUGUGAAAACUAUGAAUCAUGAAGACUUCGUUUUCUGCCUCUGAUGUUAUAACCUGAUUUUAGAGACCCUUCGGAAGCUAAGCUUGUUGAGAAUUUCCUGGAUGAUGAGGGUGUGGAAGAGACCAAGAAGGUGAAAAUACUAAAGAUCAUCAAUGGAAUGGGUUCGUUUCCUGCUCCAACUUCUUAACUCACCAAAUCUAGUCUACUAUAGCUCGCUUUAGUUCUCACUGCGGUUAAGUUAAGAGUUUGUAAAUAAAAAAAAGAGGCAUUAUGUUGUAUCUAAAUGUAUGAACAUGACAAAGAGUAUUUUUUCCAGGUUUUAAAGACGAAUUAUCAGGGCAAACACUCUGCGAAUCUCUUCCAGAGUUUGGGGUAGUUCAAGAUGCUGAUCGCCUUGAUGCCAUUGGCGCCAUAGGUUAGAAUGCUUCUCGACAGUUUAAAGAGCUUUUGAUCUGCCACUGUCAAAUUGUCUGCCCUGUUGUCUCUUUCUAUGUUUGUGCUCUUAGUUGUUUUUGAUCUCUUUAUAAUUUAGGAAUUGCUCGUUGCUUUACGUUUGGUGGGAGCAGGAACAGAGUGCUUCACGAUCCUGAGAUCAAGCCCCGGACAGAGUUAACCAAAGAGCAGUACAUGAAGAAAGAGGAGCAAACCACCAUUAACCACUUCCAUGAGAAACUCCUCAAGCUGAAGAAGCUGAUGAAAACCCAGGUGAGAUUUACUGGAAAACAAUUCUCUACAACUUUCAAAUUUUGUUUCGGUUUGAGAUUUGAAUGUGGUGCUGAAAAAAAAUAUCAGGCGGGUAAAAGAAGGGCAGAGAAAAGGCACGAGUUCAUGGAAGAGUUCCUUAAGGAGUUCUAUCAAGAGUGGGAUGGGAGAGCUUGAUAAAGUUGAUGCAUGGAGAAGAAAAGCAGAGGAUGUAUUCAAAGGGUUGCUUAACCGUACCUAAAUGAGUAAGCUGUACCAGACCAAACCGACCUACAUGUGGUUUGGGUUUAAACAGAGUGAAAAGUGAACAGCUGUUUUUGUUUUGAACAACAGUGAACAGCUGUUAAAACUCAAAUAUUUACCUCGUGAUGAUAUUAUAAACUAGUUUAAGGUUUGUCAAUGCUAUUUAUGAAUAUGAUUGUGGAAGGAAUCAAGGUUUACAUGAUAAUCCUAGUCUUUGUUUUUUUAAAAAGAAUGUUGACUUCCUGUUUCCAUUUUUAAGUCUUCGUUCAGUAAUAUUCCUGCCAAUUGACAUGGUUUAAGAAAACGUUUCUGGAUGUUUGAGUAAGUCAUUGCGAAGCUAUCAUCGGUCGGCCAUCAAAUGUCAUGUUCUUGGUUUGAAUUUGUAUAUUUUAUACUCAAGUGACGUAACUAUAAAAUUUAUAAGCGUAAACUUUUUUUCGGAAACACAAGCGGAAACUUUUAUAUUGAUAACAUUUGCAACUCUAUUUACGUUAAUAUAAUAGUUUUUUUAGGUAUUUUUCUCACAAAGUCAGUCGUUAAAAAACAAUAUUUGGGAAGAGUUUGAACUUAUCAGACAAGUAAUUCGAUGGAUAUUCCUAAUAUAUAUUAUUUAUAGUAUUUAAAAGCAUGGAAUGAACGAAUUGUUAACAUAUAUCCAAGUCUUUUGGUUUGUAGUAUUAGAAAACCAUGAGACUAAUCGCGAUCGCGUAUAAACAAUAAUCUAUCGUUAUACAUAACACAUGUCCAUCAUUAAGAGGACUCUGGUUAUUCUAAACAACGGAUGGGUCGGCCAUUGCGUGUCCAAAUUGUGUGUUAAGUAAAACAUUAUAGUUAAUCAAAUCCCAAAUAUCUAACCGUUUCUAUGUUACAAAAAAAAAAAAAAAAAAAAAUCUAACCGUUUCUAACAUGCAUUUUCAGUUCUUUAUGUAACCAAUAUAUCAUUUAUAAACUAAACUGCUUACAUUUAUUUUGAAUUAGUCGAAGUUUUUAUCACAAGCUGGACCAAAUUAAUUAACAUUUAUACACAAAUAAUAGUAUCUGUUUUUUUUUUGUCAGCACAAUAAUAGUAUCAUUUGCAAAACUUUAGACAUAUAUAACUCUCAAAUAAAAAAGGUCAUGAUCGUGAAUGAUUAUUUUAUGGAUGUUAUGUAGACCCAAAUCUUUUUUUUUGAUUAACUCAGACCCAAAUCUUCCUCCAUGUGUUUAGCGUGCAACUCUACGACAUUCCAUCGUUAAAAAGAUAAAAAGGCGUGGGAACACUAAUUGAGAUCAAUAAUUUUACAAUCAUUUCAUCCGAUUAAAACUUAAAAUAUACACUCGGAAAUUUCGGUGAAAAUAUAUUCACAAGCUGACUAAGAGAAAGCAAAAUAAGACUGUCUUUCUAAGAUUUGUAAAUAUUCGACAAAGAAAAGGUGAAAACGUAAUAAUACUUAGUUUUAGAAAAAAUAAUAAUACUUUUCAUAUGAUUUCUUACUAAAUAUGAUUAGAUGUAUAAUCUACUAGAGAGGGAGAAAAUUAAAAAGAAGCAAAAAGGCUGACCUUUUAUCAUAAAACAAUGUGCUCCGGAAACGGCAGCGUAUCGGAGAGGCUAUAAAUACAGUCCAUUUAGCGCCGAAAAGGUAACAAAGAAAAAAAGUUUUUUUACCAUUUAAAAAAAAAAACAGGUCUUCUCUUCUCUCCCUCUCGGACCUGGUCACAUCCUCGACGGCUCCACUCUUCCUCGAAUCAUCUUCUUCGUCCUUAUCCUCUUCACGAGCCUCUUCUGUGAAAUUCAAUCCGAUUUAUUCUUCUUCAUUCACGCUCUAUAUAUACAUCUCACCUCACCUCGUCUGGUCAGCUCUGUUUCUCUUCAUCGACCGGUUCGAAAUCGGGGUCAAACCGGCUCCGAGCUAUCUACCAGGUUCGAGGAUUUCAAAUUUUAAUCUGGUCUGAUGGGAUCGGAGCCUCGGGAAGACCCGAGGCGCGAACUGAUUGACUUGCCUGUUCUUCACAAACUCAAACUCUACAGUACUCGCACGGUACGCGAAAAUAUCUCCUCAUCUCCCGCUUAGUUUAUUGUUCUUGAUUCGCAUCAAUGUGAUCUUUUACCGUCAACUGAUCUACCGAUAAUUACGUUAAUACAUUUAUGGUUUUAAUGGAUUUUCGAUUAUGUUUUAAGACAUAACAGCAUUAUUCUCCGGUUUGCAUUAAAAAAACGGUUCGGUUUUUGUUUAAUGAAACUGUUUUUUUUUUUAUGUACUUGCUUGGUGGUUUCAUAUGAUUUGUAGUGUAAGGGAUGAGUCUUUAGCUUGACAUCAUGUAGCGUCUUUGGUUCUAAGUUUUCUAUUAAUAAAUUAUUAAUAUAAAAAAAAAUUAUAGUGAAAAACUACAUUUUGGUUUGAUGUUUGUGAAUGAAUUUGGUUGUUUUGUGCAGAAUUUUUACUUGAUUGGGAGAGACGAGAAGAAAACUUUUUGGAGGAUUCUUAAGAUUGAUCGAACGGAACCGAAAGAGUUGAAUUUGUUUGAAGAUCCGACAAAGUAUACACAUGAUGAAAUCAGCCAACUUAAAAAAUGGAUUAGUAGAGGGAACCAGGAGCAUGGUGGACUUAGAGCAGAGACUACUUGCUAUGGUAUCAUUGGUACGUCAGUCCCAAAGCAUUGUCUUUCUUUUUUAUUUUCUCAUUUUUAUGUGUCGUUGAAGCUAUGGAGCUAUAAUGAUUCUCUGGGUGCAGGGUUUGUUAGAUUCUUGGGGCCUUAUUACAUGCUUGUGAUUAGAAAAAGGAAGAAAGUGGGGGAGAUCUGCGGCCAUGCUAUCUAUGGUGUAGCGGAGAGUCAAAUGAUCAUGGUUCCGUAUCCUUCUAGUGAGACGAGAGUGUCUGGUUCUGCAGCCGAGCGAAGGUAUAGGAAGCUCUUCAACAUGGUGGAUCUUAGCAAAAACUUCUACUUCAGCUACACGUAUCGCCUCAUGUACUCCCUCCAGAAGAACAUCUGCAACACUGAGAGAGGAAAAAUUCACGACAACAGCAUGUUUGUCUGGAACGAAUAUUUAACACGAGGGAUCAGAGGGAUCCUCAAGAAUACCGUAUGGACAGUUGCAUUAGUAUACGGAUUCUUUGAACAGGUAGCUAUAAAAUGCAUGCAUAUAUGAUUGGUUUAGUAACAAGACCUAAUCACUACUGCUCAUUUGCUGUUGUACUACAGAUUAAAUGUUCAGUAUCUAAUGAAGAAUUUAUUUUGACUGUCAUUGCUCGGCGUUCACGCCGUUAUGCUGGUACAAGGUACUUGCUAUAUAUGUUCUAUUUUCCUGUCUUUUAUCUCUGUUAUUUUUUUCUCUCAUGGACUAACAAUCCUUGCCUCCUCUCUCGGUUAAUGUGCAGAUAUUUAAGGCGUGGUGUGAAUGAGCAAGGCAGCGUAGCCAAUGAGGUUGAGAUAGAGCAGAUCGUUUCCAGAGAGGUUCCAGAGGGGAAGAAAAUCCCUAUAACAUCAGUUGUGCAGGUUCGAGGCUCCAUACCGCUAUUCUGGUCCCAGGAGACAUCUGUGUUCAAUCCACAACCCGACAUAAUAUGUAAGCACCACUGACAUAUAGAUCCUUGUUUCUUACAUUAUUCUUAACGCUUAUGUUUCUCUCUUUUACCGGCCACAGUAAAUAACACAGACGAGAAUUACGCAGCUACUAAGCUCCACUUUGAGAAUCUGAGACAGAGAUAUGGGAAGCGGAUAAUCAUCAUGAAUCUUCUAAAAGUAGGCUUUCUGAACUUUACUAGGACAACAAGUCAAAAGUUUAUACACUGGUUCCUCCUUUUCUUGGAUUGCUGGAAUUUUGAGUGUGUAGCUUUGCUAUUCUGCGAUAUUCAGACAGGUGAUAAAGACCAUCGAGAAAGCAUCUUAAAGGCAGCGUUUGGAAAGGCAAUCUGGUUUAUAAACAGACAGACGAAGAAGGAUAGCCGCUUAAAAGCAAUCCAUUAUGAUCUAAACAAACACUUCAAAAGGUUCUCUACCACCUAUUAAGAAGAAACUGAUGGGGUUGGUGUAAUAAGUCUAAACCCGUUUUUUUCCUUGCCCUUUUGCAGCGGAGUUGAUGGUGCAUUCGAGCAGCUGUGUGUCCUUGGGAAGAGAGCGUUGGACUUGAUUGACUUAUUCUUCUGUGAAGCUCCUUUAGGCAUUGGAGCUGAAGGCGUUAUUAACGACUCAUUUUUAAAGUAAGUUUGGUAAUGCUAUAUGUAUGUUAUUAGUAUAUAUGCAUCCUAAUAUUAAUGUUACCCAUGCUCCAGUAACCCUAUUAUGAAUCAAGAUAAAGAGGAAACUAUUCAAGAAAAUGAAUCUUUGAAGGCGGAUAUACAUAAGCUUCAAAGUGGGGUGUUGAGGACAAACUGCGUAGACUGCUUGGAUCGUACUAAUGUUGCUCAGUACUCCCACGGAUUGGUAGCUCUUAACCAGCAGCUGCGUACAUUGGGUAUCACAGGACCUCCUAUCGUCGAUAAAGACAACCCCGUGGCAAAGAAACUGAUGGAAGUUUACGAAAACGCGGGUGAUGCAAUUGCAAUUCAGUAUGCUGGCUCGGAAGCUCACACCAAGGUGAUUUUUGAUCUCCCAACACAUUUUUCUAUUAAGCUUGAGUUGCUGUUGUUGAACUAUGUGUGGUUUAACAGAUGUUCAGUGCGCUGAGAGGUGAGUGGAACAUGAUGAUGAAACACCGUGACAUCAUCACAGCUGUUCGUCGUCACUACAACAACGCUUAUCAGGACGGCGAAAAGCAGAACGCCAUCAAUGUGUAAGCUUUGGAAACUUCUCAUCUUUUUUUUUUAUUAACUUGUUAUGUAUUUGUCUGUUCUAAAAAUAAUUUCUCUUGACAGGUUCUUGGGGAAAUCCGGGCCUCAACUGGGGAGGCAAGCCCCGUGGGAGUUGGGUUCUGACCAACGCAACACUAGAAGAACUAGUUCUAACCUAGACAUCGAAACCCUGAGGUACCUUGUUGACCAAACAAGCUCUCUUUAUAAGUUGACAUAUAACUUGCAAAAGACUGAGAUAUGUUCCAAUACACAACAGGCCAAAAAUUUCAAGAUCCUUAUCGGAUAACCUUCUCUUAUUGGGUGAACUGAAUCUGGAGGAGCCGAUACUCGAAAAUCCAGAGCCUUCACGUGAAGGGUUAAACGGUGUUAUAUGGGAAACAACUUCAGAAUCUGGAUUCAUUGAAGCUGAACCAACUUCUCCAACGUGGGUUCAUCAAAGUCUCUUUUAUUUAACUUCUUGUAAAGAUCUCGUUUGUUACUUAUGUCUGAUUCUUCUUCCUCUUUUGGUAAACAUCUUCAGCUUCCACUCGGCUAUUGUCGAUGAGGAUCAUUUGAGACGAACAGGAUCAAGACAAAUGUUACAAGGGAGUAGCUCUAUGUCUGAUUUUCUUGGUCUGGAUGAUGUACCUGGUUUUUCACACUCAUACAAUGCUAGAUUCACUCCGGCAGAUGAAAUGUUUGAAAUCUGCAGGUAAAAUUUUAUUAUUUUAAGUAACUGAGGUAUAUCUAUUCUCUUAUAUAAUGCAGGCCUGGUAAAUUAAUGAUGUAAAUGUUUUGUGCAGCUCCGUGUCGUCAGAUAACAUGUUCACGGACCUGGACGAAUCCAUCACUUCUACAACUGAUACGAACAUUCUUGAGGUAAUAGUCCUUCAUCACCAUAUCACCUUUUAAUUAUUCAAGUUACUUGUAAGCUUAGUAGCCAAACAAAGACACUGACCGGGUCGUUUUUUUUUCUCAUCUUGAUAGUUUCAUAGCAGUUCGAAUCAACCAGGACGUUUCAUUGAAUUUCCUUUAGUAGAUGGAUACUCAAAUGAAUUCACUCAGUGGGUUCUACACGAAAAAUCAUCAUUGUCAAGGGCUCCGAGAUGAAACUUGUGCCUUGCACGGGAAGUUAACGGACGUAAGGCAGGGUUGGACAGGCAUGAUACACACGCACACACACACAAUAACAGCCACAUCUUUGUACAUACCCGAUUCAGCUUUGUAAAGGUCCUUGUUUCUUGUAUUUCUUUCUCCUACCAAGGUUGAUUUCUAUCUCUUUCUUUCUUUUUCAUCACCCACAAAAAGUUGAUUUUGUUUGUUUUUUGGUAUAUAGAGGGGUUGGUUUGGUUCAAUUUUUCUAGUAAUUUGUGGCGGCCCAAUUGGCUGAACCGCAAUGACAAUGAAUUGUGUGAUUACUGAUGACUGAUUAGAAGUUGGAAGCAACACGCCAUAUUACAAUUCCUAUUCGGUCUAACAUUUGUUGACCCAUGCCUCGUUGUAUUCAAAAAACUAACCAACAAAACGAAACAUAUCACAUGCGAAAAGUGACACUGGGAUGUCUUCUGAACCAGAUCGUUGUAGCUAUGUCGCAAGAGCUAAGGAAUGACAGCGAGCGUCUUAGCCAUGUCGGGUUAACCCGUAUUUUCUGUGUUAUCUGUCGGCAUGAUGUUAAGGUAAAAGGCUUGCAUUCGUGAAGCAUGAUUUUUUUUUUUGGAUUAAUGGUAUUUUAAGGUAAGGGAAAUUUGCCCCUAUAUUAAAAAUACACAAAUCCACUAUCUAACCAAAAACACUUUCUCUCUCCUUAUUUCUCUUUCUAUUUUUCUCUAACCUCUUACUAAAAAUCUAAUAAUUUUUUUUUUUUGUUAUUUGGCAAAUAAGCCCUUGAGGCAAAGACAGAAGGGAAAGUCUAUUAACACAAGUGUCUGUAAUGUACUCUUUAAGAACAACAACAAGAUACAAACUGGCUUAUUUGCUCUUGCAACUAACUUGUUUGUUCAGAGUAUUUUAUUUAAUUAAAGUAUUUUAAUUGUGUGGGGCUGUUGGCUACCAAUUUGUUUGCCCACCAACACCAAAAGCUGUCUGUUAAUUUUACGAGAUAAAUGAAAAACUGCAAUUAUUUGCUUCACUAUUAAAAAUUCAGUUGGAUUGGGUUGGAUUUAACAAUGCAAUAAAAGCUCUCAAUCAAUAUAGUUGGUAUAUUAUGUCAUGUUUUUUUUGAUAAAUUCUAUCGGCCAAUCCGGUCGGUCUCGGAUAGGAGUGUUCAAUCCGGAUAUCGGUUCGGUUUCGGUUCGGUUUUUUUCGGUUUUCGGUAUUUCGGUUAGUAAAAUAUAACUACCAUUCUAAAUCCAUAUUUACUUCGGUUCGGUUCGGUUUAUAUACCGUCGGUUUUCGGUUUAUUCGGUUUUAUACCAAAAAACAUAAUUAUUUUGUUUGAGAUCAUAUUAUAUGAAUUUUAGAGUCAUAUUGUCAACACAGACAUUUAUUAAAAAUAUAUUACAUGUUCAAAUAAAUGAACAAAAAAGUAAAAAUGCUUCUACCAUCAAAUAAAAUAAUCAAAUCUAUAACUAAAAUCAAAGCUUGAAAUUUUGAAAAUAAAAAUAUGAAACAAAACAGAAACAUGAAAGAAAUUUUUUUCCACUCUUCCAUAUUUAGUGUUCAUUAAAGUCAUCUCGGAAAAAAACGUAUUUAGUGCUACAGAGUGGAAUGAUUACUACACUUCCUAUGUUAUGUUUUUAUAACAUUUCUAAUCUUUUACUAAUAAGUUUAAAUAAUUAAGAACUGGGUACUGGUUCUCAUUACCUAUACACACGUUCCUUACGACGAUUAAGGUCGUGUGUUACAGUUCAGCUCUUAAUUUCAAACAUAUUAGUAAUCCAGUUUUGAAAGAUAUAAGUUGCCGUUGAACAAAAAAAGAAAGUUACAAGUUGCCAUUUUGACGUAUGAUACUAAACUUUAUAAGGAACUAUUUAUUUGCGUACAUUGAAAUAAGGUUAAUUCUAUUUAAAAAAAAAAUUAUCAAAAGAACUCAGAAAGAGUAAAAUGUUCAAAAGAGAUUUCGUUAAAGAAAAAAACUAUUUCAUUUAAGAGGAUAAAAAAAAUUCUAUCAUUCCAUAGAUAUUUAAACAUACAUAAUUAUCUAAUAAAUAAUAUAAAUAAAUAAAAAUAAUUUUUAUAUUAUAAUUUUUGAAUUAUACGUUUUGAAUUAAAAAAUUUUAUAAAAAAUUUGAAUAAUUUAUUUUUGAAAAUCUAAAACUUAAUAUUGAAGCUAUUUUUAUAAAUUUUAUUUGAAAUUUUUUAGUAUUUAGUAAAUUAUUCUUUAAAAUCUUAAAUUUCGCCCCUCAAAUCUAAACCAUAAGUUUAAAUUAGUUAAACCUCGAGAUAUAAAUGUCUAUUUACCUUUUAAAUAAACCUCUUUUAGCUAUUUUGACUCUUGAAAAUUAUAUUUGUGAUAAAAACUUUUUUAUAUUCAUCCUAAAGAAUUUCUCUUGCAAUAAUAACAUAGUGGUGUUAAAAAAUUACAUAGUAAAAUAUACAUAAUUAAAUAUCUUUCUCUUUACAUAAUCAAAUAUCAUUUGCGUUGACUUAGUUUAAUAAAAGAUUGCUUUUAAAAAUAAAUUAAUAGAAUGAUUACUAGUACUAAUCAUCAGUAAUACUUGAUUAGGCAAUGAACCUGUGAUGUUUGGGAUUGUAACAUCUCUUGGCGUAAACUUGAUUAGGCAAUGAACCUGUGAUGAACCUGUAUAUCUCUUGGCGUAAACUAUAUUAUAUACAUAAAAUAAAGUUUGGACCAUUUUGUAAGUUAUCUAAACUUCAUUCAAUUAUUAGCUUCAUUUCUACAAUUUGUGUUCUGUAAGUCUAUAACGACAGCUGCAAAAGGUUUUCUCCCACCAGAUUAAAUAAACAUUUAUGAUUUUGAUUGGUGGUCACAAAACAACUAAAAAUAUUAGUUGUAUUCCAUAUUAUGUCAGGCCAAGUGUUUUAGUUAUAUGCAUGAAUGUAUUAAACCAAAACAAGUUUAUAAGAAAAAACCAUAUUUCUAAGGAAUCAUCAUCAUCAAAAUAUAUUAUUUCAAGAUCGUGGACAUGAUGUAAUCUUUAUCUAGAAAACCAUCGAUCACCCUGUAUCCGAUCAUUAGACAACAACCCACAACAGGAGAUUGUCACACACACGCGUAUGCACAUAUCAACCAUGCAUUCUUGCACAUAUAUUCAUGUCAAUAUAUAAUAUAAAAAUAAAAACAGAGCAACGAGACACUAGUUUUACGGAUUCUGUACCCUUAAUCUUUUAUUAGAUGUUCACCUUUCUCGAUCUCUCUCAGUAUAAAUACAAACGAACCUAUUCCUUCAUUGUCACGUCCCAGAAACAUAUAUAACUUUAUCAUUCUGGAUAAACACACACACACAAAAAACACUGCCGUAAUUUCAAGAAAAUCUCCAAUAUUAUUAGUUAUAUUUUGAAGUUUAUUUGUUUGGUUUUGGAAAACCUCCAAUAUUGUUCAAAAUCGAUACUUAUACUUUACCAAUGGCUAAGUUCGGGAAGCUAACAAAGCUCAAGUCGGUCAUAAAGAAAUGGCCUUCCUUCAUCAAGAACCACCACUCAAGCACCGUAUCUACCACCACCUCCGCCACCGCCACCGAGGUCUCAAAAUGCAACGAUCUUCGACUAGUUUACGUUGGGAAGUCUCGAAGACCUUACAUGCUUAGUUCCCACGUCAUUGACCAUCCGCUUUUCCAGGAAUUACUUGAUCGUUCAUCGAGAUUCAUGGAAGAACGUCACGAUCAAAAGACAAUCUUAGUAGCUUGUGAAGUCGUAUUGUUCGAACACUUGUUAUGGAUGCUCAACAACAGUUGCUCCGAUCACAACGAUGAUGAUGAUGAUUGCGAAGGAGGAUCCGUCGAGGAAUUGGCUGAGUUCUACACUUAUUGAGGGCGAUAUAUUUUCUUUUUUCUUAUAAUAUAUCAUUUUUGUACCUAAUGAAAAUUUUGAUUUGAUAGUACAUUGAUCUGGUGGUGGCCACAGAACAUUUCCUUCGCUUUUGUUUUUUUUUUCCUCACCAAUUUUAAUACAGAUUUAGUACCCUUAGGACAUCUUCCCUAAUUAUAUUAGCUAGAGAUUGUAAUUCCAUCAAUAUGAUAAAAUUUAUGUACUAAUGAUUUUUGCUCCCUUUUUGAAUACAUACAUAGUACUUAUUUUGCAUGUGUUCUACUAUAGUUUUCAAAAGAAUAAAAUGAGCCGCCACAUGACGCGCAUGGCCACCCAGUUGCAUGCACCGUCUUACUUGCCUCUCUAGUGGCAGAAAUGGCUGUCACGGAUGAAUUAAUUAAUCAUAAAUCUAUUAGUAUAUAUAUAAGUUAAAACCUAUAGUGACUAAUGAGUUCACACAGUCACACUAUAUAUAUAGUAUGCACCCAUACAUGAUUUAAUAAUGGCGUCAAAUAUAAAUAGGUGAAUACACAAGCGAGGUAGGAACACAGUGAUAUAUAGUUGGACCAGGGAUGCAAGAGGAGUGAAGGACACUAGUGGUAUUCCUUAAUUCUAGUGCAGAGCUCAUGUUUAACUGCGAACUUAGUCGGCGAUAAUUACUUGAUUAGGUAUAUGAUUCUGUAAAGAUUUGCAAUAUAUAGUGUGCAUGGUUUACGGGUUCUAUAAAAAUGGAAUGCUUUUUAACUCCAUCAUCAUCAUCAUCAUGACAAAAAUAAAAAAAUAAAAAAUAAAUCCAUAUUUAUGUAAUUCUUAUAACUUCAAUACUCUCAGAGUCUCAGUCAAACUAUACAAUAUAAUUAAAAAGUAUUUUAAUUUAAACGACCAAGUUGUUCGUUCAUUUGAUUAUUUCAGGAUUUAUUUGACCAAAAUAUUUGCCGACAAAUUUUUAAAUUGCAAAAGAAAAUAUUAAUAUAGUCACCUGUUGGAAAAUGAACUUUUAAAUUCUUAACUGUUUAAACUUUAAAAGCAACAUUUUUAAUAUCCAACUAUCUUUCGCACACAUUUAAUCUUGAAGUCAUUCCUAUUUCCUGACAACACAAACUCGAACAUUAAAAUGUCAAACGAUAACAGAGAUAUGAAUUACAAUUAAAAAGAAUCAGUUUGGCUUUCAAAAAACCAAGAAAUCCCUAAAAUUAACUCUGUAAGUUAAUGGAUAGACAAUUUUUGGUGAGAAAAAGAAAGUUUGGUGAAAAUCUAAAACUUUUGAUACUGAAAAUAGAGAACAUGAUUCCUUUCUUCAAGAACAAUAUUAUAAAGUUGCUUCCAGCUUCCACCAAGAAUUUUGAAGAAGGUUCUCACCUUCCUUUCACCGAAAUAGCCUUGAUCGAUUUUCAUUCAUCGGGAAUUGCUUACUCUCUUUCGAAAUUGUUCAGAUAGUAUCAAUUUUAAAGAUUUAUGGGUUUUUGAAAGCCAAACCAAUCCAUUUUCUAAUUGUAAUUCAUGACUCCAUUAAUGUUUGACUUUUCUUAAGUCCGGUUUUGCGAAGUUAACAUUAUAUCUGCACAAAGAAUAGUUGGAUAUUAAUGGAAAGUCUGGCCCAAAGUAGGCCCAUUAUAGAAGAUAUGGGUCAUGAAACGCAGCGUAUGAGAACGGCGACGUGCGUCUUGGUAGUUUUGACUGACGCUCCGAAGCUGAUUGCGAAACGUUCGCGACGGUGACGAAAAUCCCAGUGAGUGAGUGAGUUCUAUAAUGCUCGCUGCGUUUACAGCUGAAACUUAGAGUUAGAGAUAGAUAGACAGAUAACAACUUGUCUGUUCUGAGCAUUUCUUUUGUCAUAAUGAUCAGAUCUUCAUUGGUCUUGAGUUUUCUUAUGUUUCUUUUGAAUCACUUAUGUCGAGCUUUUAUGUUUCUGAAGAAUGUUGCUGCAAUUUGUAUUCUUUUUGCCGUCUGCAUUUGUGAUCUAUAUAUCGAUUUUUAGCUUACAAUGUGUUCGUUGAAAUGCCUCAGUGGGCUAAUAGUCUUAUUCACUAGUGUAAUGGGAGUCCUUGUUUUUGUAUUCAUAUGGGUCCAAGAUUAAAAGGUCGUGGAUUAGAUCCUAGCCUCGGCUCCUUUUGAUGCUUAAAUCACUACAUUGUUGAUUUAGUCCUCUCCAAUUCAAUGUAUACAAUAGUAUUUUGUUGUUGUUUUGCUAUGUGUGAGCUUCUGAUAUAGCUUAACCUUGCAAAGUUGUUAUCUUUUAUACUUUGUUGGAGUGUGGUUAUGAUCAUGGUGUGUUCAAUGAAAAAUAGGAGCUUUAGUUCGUAACAAUUAAUGUUUUAUAUUUACUAAAGCUUUUUUUUUUCAUUUUUUUCUACUGGGAAAGCAGCUACAGAGACAUGUCAAGGUUUCGAUCAUUGUUGCAAGCCUCAGUAAAUGCAACGAAAAGGGGUAUUCACUUUCCACCUUUCCGUCAAUUAAAAUAUUCGUGAUCUACUGAUUUCCUGCUUGUGUGUCGAUGUUCUUGCUUUUGUUCAACUGUGUUUGUGCCUUUAUUUAGACGGUGAAUGAUAGCAAGUAAUGUUUGAGAAGCUGAAUGGCGCUGUUUUUAUGUUCCAAGAUUUAUCAACAUUUUGUGAUUACCAUUAUAUCUUUCUACUAGCUUUAAUGCUUUUGAAUGCUAGUUUCUGACUUAUCUUCACCACUUUUCAAACUGUUAGCUUUUACGUGGAACAUUGAAGAAUGGAUACCACCUCCAGAGAAGUAUAUAUUUAAGUUUCAUUCGAAAGAAGACUUGAAGAAAUGGCAUCUCUAUUCUGAUUCUGAAUAUGGAGGUACUUUAUAAAGAGUGUCUGAUAUUGUUUUCUGUUGUUGUUUCCCUUGCAUUUCCAUGCGUUGUUGAUUUAUAUGGACAACUAACUACUGAGACAAAAUAAGAUUCAUAAAGAUUUAGAAUUAAAUGAUAUCGUAAAGAAUUCGUUAUGCAUUUUAUAAUUUAUUUGGUGGCAACAUGUUUGAUGAUUAUUUUCACAGGAUUAUCUUCGGCUUCCUUGGAGAUCCCAGAUGGAGGAAAAGAAUCAGAUGGAACUGGUUAGCAACUUCGUAACUCUUUUUUUUUUUUGUGGACAUGAUUUUCGUUAACAAACAUAUGAGACGUUUCUAUGUUACGGUAGCGUUGUUUAUGUCUUUAUUAUGUUUCUUACACUGCUCACUUGGUGAUAUUUUUCUCCCUUAUAUCUUAUAUAGGAAUUUUCUCGGGAAACCUUUCCGUAGACCUUAGUGAGGGAUCAAAGUGGAACAUCAGUCGGAGUGGCUUCUGUGGAAUGCGCUCAAAGAAGGUUAACAACGAACAGCUUUUAUUUUACUUACAAUGCAAAUCUUAAGCAAACUAUAACUCUUACAUUCAACUAUUGUUUGAAGACAAGAUUGAAUUGUCAUCUUGGUUUGUAACCCGAAGACUUUGCGAGUUAACUGAUCAUACUAUUUCAACUAACUAACUUCCUUUUUUUUGUUUUGCAGUUUGAUGGCUUCAUUGAUCUGGACGGGUAUGAUGCAAUAGCCAUGAGGCUUAGAGGAGAUGGAAGGUGUUAUAUAUCUACCGUAAGUUUUCAUGCUCAUAUUCACCUUUCCUAUUACUCCAGAUGAAACAACAAAUGUUGUAGGAGGGAAAAGGGUUGUUAUACUAAACCUUGAUUUUGAUUCAGAUCUAUACCGAAAACUGGGUGAAUUCACCAGGACAAACAGAAGAUAACUCGUGGCAAGCUUUCGUCUUUGCUCCAAAGGACAGGUGGUAUACUGCCAAGGCAAGUACUCACUUCUACAAAUGUUACCGAUAAGGAGUUUUAGUGCAUUGUACAUAUCCUGUUUUCUGAACUCCCAAAAAGACAGAUAGAGAUUAUGAGUUCACUUGAAUGUUUCGCUUCUAGUCUAAGGCCAUUAGUAACUGGAGUUUUGAUUAUAUAUCAGAUCCCUCUGGCUAGAUACUUGCCAACAUGGAGAGGAAAUGUAAUCGAUGUGGAAAUGGAGAUGAAUCCAGGUCGUGUUCUGGGUAUGUCACUGUCGGUUAACGCAGAAGGUGGUGCGGUUGGAGCCAAGUCAGGAGCAGGUGAUUUCAGAGUUGAAAUUGACUGGAUCAAAGCCUUGAGAAUGCCAUGAACGGGUGAAGCGUUAUGGCAAUGUAUGAUGUCUUUGUUGCUUAUUCUUUGUUUUAGCUUGUAAAAAACAGGCCUGAGUUGAUACUUUGGUG
rnacentral:lncRNA from 1 species